rnacentral:lncRNA from 1 species
CUCUCUCUCUCUCUCUCUCUCUCUCUCUCUCUCUCUCUCUCUCUCUCUCUGUGCAUGGGUAGGGUUUUAGUUAUUAUUCUUGGUCCUCUAGGCCUUCCAUACCUUCUUUGCUCUUGAUGUAAAUCUAAGGCUUUUGUUUUAGCAUAUUUUCUGAUAUUAAAAACACUAGAGGUCAAAAAUAAACACUAUUAUUCAUCAUUAGUAUGGAUAAAAAUUUAUAUAGAGAAGCAUUCAUUCACGAAUAAAGUAAAUGUUAUUAUACGGACGUGUUCAUUCAUGUAAUUAACCUCUAUAUAGAGAAACAUUCAUUCAUGAAUAAAAUAAACACUAUUAUUCAUCACUAAGGUAGAUAAAAAUCUUUUCCUAUAUCUCUCACCAGUUUUGGUCAAUUAUAUAUGUAACGCCCUUAAUUGCAACUCUCCAGCUUAAGCACAUCACAUUGUCACGAGUCACUAAAACAUAGAUCACAUGCUCGAUUUACAUUCUAGAGAACCACAAGGCAUGUUGUUGGAAUUUUUUUUCAUAAAAACAUAGUGAAAGCUUACAAUGUCUAUAUGGUGAAAAAAUUUAAGUUUUCAAAACUCAUUUAUUCGUCUAGAACUUAGUACGAACGUUAAAUUAAUGUUAACAAAAUUCAUGGAAUACAAAUUUAAUAACUAGGCAGAAAUAAGAACUACAUUUCUACCUUCUAACAAGAUUCGUAAUACGAAGUUUGAGAAACAAGUAAGCAUAAAGAUAGCGUCCCCUACCUAGCUACACACCAAACCGGGUCGAUAUUAUGUUCGAGCAUCAUUUGACUGUUGUAACUAACCCUUCCUGAGGUUUUGGGAAUCAGACCCACAGAAGUCAGUGCUACCCUUCGCUCUUAACCAUCUUAAGCCAUCAACAUCUCAAGUGGUUUGGUUAGUAUGCAUUGUACUUAACAUAACCAAACCAUAUCAUGUUCUAAACCAUUUAAGGAAAACCUCUAAUCAAGAAAAUUCAUAAUCGGUCCCCUAUGUGUAUUACGAUGCUCAGGGCCGGACCUCUGAUGGUCAUACGAGAAAGAAAAUAGAAAAUCAAAGAUGAUAUAAGACUUUUGAGUGACUUUUGAAAUUCCGCAGCAUCCAGUAGAUCAACGUCAAAGGCUGAUUGAAUCAGAUCCAACUGACCCAGCGAAAAUGCAUGCGGAGAAUAAGUUGUGGUAUAGAGAAUUAAAAAGGGAAUAAAAUUAAAGAAACAUGCAACAAAUUCAUAAGGACGAUCAUGAGAAAUAAGCUAGAGAAAUAGUGGAAAACCAGUUGGGUGACAACACUUUCAUCUGGUAGAUCAAUUAUGAGGACUUGAAUGCAUGACAACACUAAUACCUGAAUACAAAAACAUAAAAGUGUGCCCCCAAAAUUUUGGGCCUGAAGCUAUUGCCUCCUAUAGCUCACCUCAGGUCCGAGCCUCACGAUGCAUGCUUUUUCUCACGUACUCCGACAGUCACGAACCUGUAGUGUCCGACAUAAUAAAUGUUAAUUAUUUGUCGACCAUAUAUUUAGAGUCUCAAGGAUUAACUAAUAAUCGUUUGAUGACCUUUCCUAUUUUAACCAGGAUUGACCAUGUUUGACCUUUUUGACAACAUCAAUCAUAUCUAACUCUUUUCGUCGUCUUCAACCAAUUCCACGAUUAGAUUCAAUUAUUGAAUACUAGUUGCAACUAGAAUAUUAUCAAACACUUAGGCAUUUACUUUUAUCAUCAAACAUUGUCACAUAGUAAUUUGGUGAAAUUACUAUGGAAAACCAUAUAAACUUCCCUUGAUUCACCAGCUGCUGCGUUUUUGACAUAACAAUUUCAAAUUAUCACCUAAAUAUGCAUAAGUGAACAAGAAAUCGAAGUAUCAGGCACGAACCCACCACUACAUAUGCGGUGCCCGUGGUGGCUGUAAAAUCCCAAAAUUUUAAAUCUUCACAAUGAAAAUAUAAUUCGAGAAACACUUACACCGAAAAUGAGGAGUUGAUCAACCCUGGUAUACCACGAAGGACCAAAAUGCUACCAUAAUCACCGAAAACCAUGAAAACUCACCCGCUCACAUAGAGCUUCUCGACCUCAAUUUGCACUCUUUGGUUGAUGACUGAGAAAGCCACCACCACCGGUAUGAAGCAAAGGGCUCUUGCAAACCUUGUUCGAGCCAAUGACAUCAGUAUAUGCUUUCUCUCGGAAACUCUAGCACAACCAACCUAUUGAUUUAUUUUGCAACUGUUUAGGGUCUUCGAGAUCAAUUUCUGAUGCUUGCUCUGAUGAGGCUCAAGGCGUUGUUCUUCUAUGAAGGGACGACAUUCAUAUCACUCAAAGGACUUCUGGUCAAUAUUACAUUCAAAUUGAGAUUGGUAAGCUCGUGACACAAGAUAAAUGGUGAUUCACUGAAUCUAUGACUAUACACAUUGUAGUCAACACAUUCAAAUAUGGAAUCUUAUUCAAUAACUGGUUGUUGAUUGUUCAUUGUUAUGGCACAUGAUAUAUAUGGGACUUUAACGAGAUUCUCUACAACUUUGAGAAAUCUUGUGGCCCUCCUAGAACCCUAGCCUCUAUGAACUUGUUUCGAAAAACAAUGGAAGCUUGUGAUCUUCAUGAUAUGGGCUUCACUAGCAGUUACUUCACUUGACCAAACAUUCUAUGAAAUAAUAGUUAGAUCGAGCUUUUCGGUUAUGUCUUUGAAAACUCUAUUCCCAUACUCAAGAGCAGUUACGCUACCCCCAACCCAAAGUAUCUCUAAUAAUUCUCGAAUUAUAAUUGAAGUCGUAUCUGAGCAAAGAAUCGCUUGGAGGUCUCCAAGAAAUUUCAGGUUUGUGGAAAUGUGGCAACACCAUGAUGAGUGUAUUGGUAUCAUUUGGAGAGGAUACACGCAACCUCUAGAUGAUAAUGUAUGCUUUAGGUAAAUUUAAGCAUUCACAAAAUAAGGCAAGAGCUCAUGAAAUGACAACAGAGUGUCAUUGCUGCACAAAAAAUUAAAAUGAUCUAAUGGAUGUCCCUUACUGUAUGUCUCCUUUUGUUUUUCAUAAGUAUUGACAUGCUGGUGAAGUAGAUGUGUGUGUUGUAGUCAAGGAGUUCUCAGAAAUAGGUAAGUUUUGAUAGUUCAAGUUUUGCUCAUUUGUGUCUCAUUGCAGAAAUCAAAGACCCCAAAACAAGUCAGUGAUUAUAGAUCUAUAGCCUCGUGUAAUGUUAUCUACAAAAUUGCCUCAAAAGUAGUUGCUAAAGAUUGAAGAGAAUGUGAUUUGACAUCGUUUCACCCUUGCAAACCCUUGCAAAGUGCUUAUGUCCAUGUGAGAUUAAUCUUGAAUAAUAAUGUAGUGGCUAUCGAGGUGGCUCAUUUUAUACAUUAAUUAAAGCAAGCUGUGAGUUUUUUUCUUUGAAAUUGAAUAUUGAUCUCUAAGCGUUUAUGAUAAGCUGCAAUGUGUGAAUUCCUUGAGGACUUGAGGCUAUGCUUCUAAAUUUGGGUUCAGCGCGAGUUAGGUGCAAAUUAUCAUGCACAGUUUAACUUUAGUACAAUACUUUAUUCUAAUGAAUGUGCAACAUAUAUAAACUAUUUAUCCUACCAAAUGAAUUAGACAUGGCUCAUUUUGUGGUUGAAGACCUGUCUAAUCUCAUUGUAGUACCUAAAAUGAGUCAUACUCCUCUAACAAUAUUUCAACAUAUCAAAUAGGUGGAUGAGCACUACAAAUUUUUAGGUGUGCCUAUGCGUGUUAGUAAGUUUAAAAUUGUUAUCUUUGGUUUGUGUCAAAGAAAAAAUGUCCAAGAAGCUCAUCAAUUGGAAAUAAAAAAUCCUAAGCUUUGUUGGAAGGAAAUCCUCAUCAAAGUUAUGACUCAAACCAUGUAUUUGUAUGUUAAUAUUAUUGACAUUCAUCACCUCUGCAUGUGGUGGCCUUUUUGGCUGGCACUGAAAUAUACCAAAAUGAAGAUACAUUAUAGGAAUUUGGAGAUAUAUUGCUAAGCAAGAUGGUGGCCUUGGUUUUAAGAACACGCAUACAGUGUAUGCUUACAACUUAUCUAUGUUGGCCAGACAAGCUUGGAGUUAGCUUAAGCGCCUUAACUGUCUUGUGACACAAGUCUUUAAGGCUUGAUUAUUUCGAUGUUGUUCUAUGUAAGAAGCUCAUUUAGAUGAUCAUCCAUCCUGGUCUUUUCUUGGUGUAACAUCAUGCAAAUCAUACCUAUCUUAGUGGCUGGUGCAUCUUGAAAUAUUGUAGAUGGUCAUCAUGUUGAUAUUUGGGAAGAUAGUUGGAUUUCAGACUACCCCAAGAACUUACUUCAUACCAGUUAGCUGGAAUCUCUCCAAAGCAUCAAAUUUUAGUCUAUUUGGAAAUCUUCUUUUAAUCUAAUGUGGCUGAGAAAAUUCUAUCUAUUAUGUUAAGUUCUAUGCUUCUUAAUGUUCGUUUAAUUUGAAAACUGAGAAAAGUGGGCAUUAUUAUGUUAAGUCUGUGUAUUGGAUUCAUAGAAGUGGUGUCAUGGGGAAUGUGUAGCGUCUUCAUCAACUAAGUAACCCUUAUCAAAAGCUUUGGUAGAAGUUUUGAAAUGCUACCAACAUAAAAAAAAUUGUGUUUGUGGAGCUUUGCCUAUAUUUAUGUCUUACAAGAGCUAAACUUAGUGCUAAAGGAUAUGAUGGCUCUUUUUAGCGUGUCUCUUGCGUUAUUUUCUUUGAGAAUGUGAGUCAAACUUUGUGUGGUUUUUCUCUAGUUGAUACGAUUCUUUCUCAUGCCUUUUUAAUUUUCAAGUUGUGACAUUGAAGCUUUCAGUUUUAAAGAGUGGUGUUGGGGUGUGUUUCGCUAGAGUUUGACAAUCUACUCGAUAACAUUUAUGUCUUUGAGAACUAUAAAUUAUGCAAUAUAUAGAUUAGCUAGUCUAGCUCUAGAAAUUGAUCCCCCAACGCAUGUGAAAUGUUUCAGCUAUGCCCGGUCAUUUGAGAGCUUUGUAAAUCAAACUCCAAGGUUCCUACAUGUGGUUUUAUUUUUUAGACUAAUUGUUAAUCCUUCAAUAAAAUUGCAGCCGUAGUUUACUAAAAAAAAAGGAUUAAUUUCAGUUUACCCCUCUGAGGUUUGGGGUUAACAUCGUUUCACUCCCCAUACUUUUAAUUUUGAAAAUUUACCCCCUAAAGUCUCUAAUUUUCAUAAAUCAGACACAAUUGUUAAAAUUUCAUCCAAUUUGGAGGUUAAAUGAUAACAUGAAAUCUUAGAAAAAAAAGGUCCUAAAAGGUGAUUUAUGUUGUUAUACGACCAUUUUAGCCCUUUUAGUAAGUUAUGAAGUCAAAACCAACGUUCGAAUUAGACGGAAUUUUAACAAUUGGACAUGAUUUAUAAAAAUUGAAAACUGUAAGGGGUAAAUUUUUAAAAUUAAGGGGGGUGUACUCAUUUAAGAUUCUAUAGGAUCUUUUUUGUAUUUCUAAACUCUAUAGGUAUUCAAUUUAGAUUUGAAAAAGUCCUUAAAAAUCUGUUGGUAUUCAAUCAUGACUUUAAAAUAUCCUUCCAAAUCUAGUGGUAUUGAAAAGUUGGUCGAUUUUCAAGGAUUCUAUUAUAUCAACGACUUUGUAGGAUUCUUUGUGCCUUGGUAUAAAUAUGAAACCCCUAGAGAAAUCUGACCUCAACACAAGAGAUUUUCACGUAUUCUGUCUCUCUCGUACCGAAGAUGAAACGUCAACAUCAGAAGAAGACGAACUAGCCUUGACGAACACUCCCUCAACGUUUCUCUGUUGUUCUCUGAUAACAAAGGUACUUUCUCAUUCUGAUUUCCUGUUUGUUAUUAUGCUCUUUUAGGUUUUGAAUUUAUUGGUGAUGAUGAUGGUUGGAGCAAUGGAGCUGUUUCUCUAUAUUUUCCUUGUUGUUUGAGAGCAAUGCCUAAUCCACGAUACAGCUUUUCCUUGAAUAAAGAUGGUUUCUCUAUAAACCCUAAACCCCCUAAUCCUAAGAUACUCUUUGAAGCUAUGUUUUCUUUCUGUGAUUUCAAAUCAGUUUGUGCUUAAAUACAAAGAUUUACAAUAACUUAUGUAUGCUUGAAGGAGUACAAUAUCAGAUUGCUACCUUAUCAAUAUCAAAUUGUUUUUUCGUCAAAUAUUGUUGAUCCAUAUCAGUUUGUUCCUUUUAUUAAGUAGUCUGAGCAAAUAUUGGAAUACCAGUUGGUGCGUCAUAUUGUUUUCAAGUUCUAUAGAUAAUGAAAUAUAUGGGUGCAGCUCUGAAGCGUAUAUAGCCACAGUCCUGGCUACUUGCUUUUGUGUAUAUUUCUAUGUGUCUAGCAAAUGUAGUUGAAGUUCUUGUGCUAGAAGAGAGUUUAGUUAGUCCUUGUAUGCUAUUAUUACUCAUCAGAUGUAAUCCUGUAACUGAUAGUUGCAUUGUGAUGUUUGGUUGUACUUAUAACAUAUCUUUAUUCGUCUAGGGUUUACAGCAUCAUCAUAUAUUCACAUUUUGGUAACAAUUGGACAAGUGUGAGAAGGCGUUUCAGGUACUUCAACUUGUCUUCUUCAUUUAGGUACUCUUAUGAGUGAUAUUCCUAUCUCAUUAGUUAUUUAAGCCAUCUUUUCUGUUUUAAGUUGAUAAGGUAACAAUUUAUACUUGUACUAUUGAACCAUGCAUGGUUUUUGUUGUUGUUCAUAGAACUUUUUGUUAAUUAGGAAAGUACACAAUUGAAACAGUAAUUGAAAUGAAGAUUAUAUAUAAGUAUGCUAAUAAAAUUUAUUCUGUGUAUUAACAUAUAGUAAUAGUACCAUGGGUGAUUCACAACAAGAUACCAAAAAAGGAUAGCUUAUGAGCAGUGGACCAAGAAAGAGAGCGAUUUAUUGUUAGAACUCAUGGUUGAUGCUGCGGCUUGAGGAUGGCGUGACAAUAGUGGUGUUUUCGGCAAAACAACAAUGGAAGAGAGAAUACUACCUGUUCUUAAUUCAAAACUUGGAUGUCAUAAGACCUACAACAAUUACCAAAGCCGGUUGAAAUGGUUUAAAGGUCGCUGGUUAUCUUAUUCAACCCUUAUGCGGUUCAGCUCUGGCUUUGGAUAUGACUAUACUACUAAAAGGUUCACUGCUCCAGAUGAAGUAUGGGAUGAGUACCUAAAGGUGAGCUUUCUAAAAAUUACAUAACAAAAAUAAUUUGAGGAUUUAGAGCAACAAUAGUUCUAAUUUUUUUAUUUUAUUUUUUUUUAUUUUUAGGCUCACCCAAAAGAUGCCAACUUACGCUAUGGGGUGACUCUUGAUUAUGAGGAUUUGGAAAUCGCUGUUGGGAAUGGUGUUGCUGUUGGAAAAAACUCAAUUGGGUUGGGUAGUGCUACUGAUGCAAGGACAUUAGGAGAUGAUGAAGGUAGAGAUGCACGCAUAGAGAACCUUGAUUAUGAUGUUGAGAAUGAGGUGUUUGUAGCACCAACUCAAAAUGAUCCAUCAUUUCGCUCUACAUCCCCUUUAAGGUUCCCUGAAGUUUCUGAGGUUCCCAAUCAAAGAAGAACCCGAUCCAAGAGAAGUAGAAAUGAGUAUGAAGGAAGUUCUAGCUCAACUGGAAAUACCCCUCAAAGUGGCAUUAUGGAACAACUUGAUAAACUAACGACCACUUUUGAAGGAGUUUAUACCCUAUUAGAGAAAAGAGAAAGCUUAUUGGAGAAAAGGGAAAGGGAUAGAGCAUAUACAAUUUGGGAUGCUAUCGAGGAGAUCCCAAAUUUGGAUGAAGACAUCCGUUUUAAGGCUUUUGACUUGCUUGACACUAAAUCAAAAAGGGAUGGUUUCUUAAAGAUGGCUCCUGAAGUACGAGAAAAUUGGAUAUUCAUGUAUUAGUUAUGUUAUGAAUAUCUUAUAUUUUGUUGAGGAUUUCAAAUUUGCAUUAAACAUGGUCUUUUGAGUUAUUUGAGUACCUCUGGUUUGAGCUAUAUUGUAUGACUUUUGAGUUAUUUUAAUUUGAACUAUAGUAUGACAUUUGAGUUAUGAAUAAUUAAUCUUUUGAGUGCUAUUUUAAUUUGAAGUAUUGUAUGGCUUUGUUUCAUUUGCAUUACUGCAUUUUGGAUUUGGAAGACUGUAGUUCCAAAACCAAUAGGAAUUUGAGGUUGAAAAUUUUCAGAAACUUAUACCGAUAUGUCUCAUAUAUGCCUGAGAAAUAGUUUUUAUUUUUGAGUCCUAACACUUUUGGAAUAUUGAUUGGAAUGAGGGAGGGUCAGAACAGAAAAAAAUUACUGCAUUUUGGAUUUGGAAGGCUAUAGUUCCUAAACCAGUAGAAAUUAACUUUUCUUUGUUUAUAUUUUGUCACUUGGUUUUGAUCAUUCAUUAACUUCUCAAUGCAGAGAAUUAGUAAUGGAAACGGAUGCAAUAUGGAGGGAAGAAUUAGAAGAAGAAGAAAUGGACGAACAAAUGGAAGAAGAAAUUGAAGAAGAAAUGGAAGAAGAGCUUUAUGAACAGGUUAAGUGUUUAUUGACAACAAUUCAAGCAGCAAUUAUCAUGCUAAGAGAUAAUAUGAUUGUGAUGCAUCCACGUAUUGAACAUUCUCUCAAACGACGACCCAUCACUAAGGUGGGAUAUCAGUUUAUACAUAAUAUGCUGAAAGGAGACCCACAAAGUUUCCGGGAGUUACACAGAAUGUAUCCGGAUGUGUUUCUAAAAUUGUGCACUAUUAUUAGAGAGAGUACUCUUUUGGAAGAUACAACAUAUAUUUGUAUUGAAGAAAUGGUAGCAACAUUCUUGAUCAUUGUAGGCCACAAUGAUCGGUAUUGUAAUGUUCGUCAAAGGUUUGGUCGUUCGCACUUUGCUACUAGUCGAAACUUCAACAAAACAUUGAAGGCCUUGAACACUAUAGCACCAGAAAUGAUGGUCAAGCCACCUAGAAGGAUGCCCUCUAAAAUUGAGGAAAAUACAAAGUAUAACCCUUUCUUUAAGGUAUGAUUCUUGUAGCUUGUUUUCUAUAAUAUUUUCACUAUAUGACCUAAAUAAUUUUUUUAGUUUUCUAUUAAUUGAAUAUUGGUUUAUUAUAGGAUUGCAUUGGUGCUAUUGAUGGAACCCAUAUUCCAGCCAUGAUUAAAGGUCGAGAUGUAAGCAGCUACCGUAACCGUCAUGGUAUUCAAUCCCAAAAUGUUUUAGCAGCUUACAACUUUGAUUUGGAAUUUAUAUAUGUGCUUAGUGGGUGGGAAGGUUCGGCACAUGAUUCAAAAUUGCUAAAUGAUGCCUUAUCAAAAAGAAAUGGACUUGAAGUGCCUCAAGGUAAUACACUCUUUUCAUUUUCCAUGAACUUCCAAUGUAUAGAAAUUAUUGAUGGCUAAGACUUGAGCAUUACUCAUUUUUUCGUGUUGGUUUAUAAUUAACUUGUUAGCUUCAUUGUGUAUGACUUACUAAUUAAGUAAAAAUAUUUUCAGGAAAAUAUUUUCUCGUGGAUUGUGGAUUUGCUAAUCGCCGCCAAUUCUUAACUCCAUUACGCGGUGUCCGAUAUCAUCUUAAAGAUUUUGGGGGUGAAGGUCGUCACCCCAAAAAUGCAAGUGAGUUAUUCAACCUUCGUCUUUGAGGAAUGUGAUUGAGAGGAUUUUUGGUAUCUUUAAAUCGCGGUUCACAAUUUUCAAAGUCACUCCCCCAUUCCCGUUUCAAACACAAGCGGAGUUAGUGUUAGCUUGUGCUGGAUUACACAACUUUCUUCGAAAAGAGUGUCGCUCCGAUGAAUUCCCAAUUGAACUAGAAGAUGACCAAUCUCCAUCACAUCUUGACAUGGAAGAUGAAAAUCUUGAAUUGCUUUCUCAAAGCCAACUACAACAAAGAACAGAAGCUAAUGCUUGGAGAACUAGCAUUGCUAAUGCUAUGUGGGCUAGGAGGCCGAGGAAUGAUGAUGAUGAAGAUGAAGAGGAUAGCAACGAGGAUCAAGCUGAUGACAUUAUGAAUAAUGAGGAGUACAUGGUUGGUGAGAAUCAAGAGAUUUAUGAUGUUAAUGAGGUUGAAACGGAGGAGUAAGCAACAUUAUAAUGUUUUUCUUUAAUUACUUUUGUAUCUUCGGUAUAUGAAAUAUGGAAUUGAGAAAAUAUUUUGAUUAAAAAGUAGAUUCAUUAAAAAGUAGAAACUAUUUUAUUUUAUUGUUAUUACAACAAUCUAUGGACUUAUAAACUCUAUGCAAAUAGAGUUAAAUCAAUCUAAUGAAAUCUGCUGAACUCUACAUGGAAUCAAAACAGUCCAUAGAGUUAACAGACUCCAUGGAUUAUUAAAAAUCAGCAAAAAUUUUUUAAAAUCUGGAUUGAAUACACCCCCUUUAAAAGUAUGAAGAGUGAAAUGAUGUUAAUCCUAAACUUUAGGAGUGUAAACUGAAAUUAAUCAAAAAAAAAAAAAAAAAAAUAAUCGCUAGACUUGCAAAAAACCCGUAGCAGUGUAAAAGUUAAACUCUUCCCUCCUGAUUUUUCUCUCUUUCUUUCAGGUCGGUGACAAACCUGAAAACCCCCUAUUAACGUUCUAUUACAAACUCCUGCAAAACCCUAGAAUCCGAGGGGACUCAAGUCCAUGUUUACUUAGACGAACCACGUUCCAGGAUCUAAAAGAAUCUCACAAUGGGUCGGCCGGAGCCUUGCGUCUUGUUCGCCCAGACCUUCGUCCACCCCCAUCUCGAUGAAUACGUCGACGAGGUUAUACUCAAUCUCUCUCCCUCUUCCUUUUCAAUUCAAUCCUACUUUCUCUAAUAAGGUCUAAUUUCACUGUUAAUCUUAUGCCCAUGGUAGUGUUGUUGCAUAAAUAUAUUGAAUUUCAAGUUCGAGUGUUACUGAUUGGAAUUUGGAUUUGUCGUUGUUUUUAGGUUUUGUUUGCUGAGCCGAUUGUGAUCACUGCUUGCGAGUUUCUUGAACACAACACCUCGUCGGCUUCACAAGCAGUGCCCCUUUUAGGGUAAGGGUUGCUCCUAAUUCAUGCAAUUUGUUUAACCUGAAUGUUUGAUUGUGAAUUAGAGAUUAAAAUUAAGAAUGAAAGUAAGUAGUUAGUAUAGUCGGAAUUCGCAGUUAGUCGCAAUGUUUGGGGCACACUCCUGAUUGGAUGCAGCUAUUUGGCCUGUCCUAUUAUUUCUAGAAACAAUAUAUGGUAUAAUCUACCGAGUAUGAAGUAGGUAGCGAGGGCGGUUAUUUAGGGUUUACACUGUAUCUCUACAUAGUACAUACUGCAUUUUUGGAUCGUAGCAUUGCUUCUAUUGAAAUUGUGUCUUGAUUGUAAUGUUUGGGUUUCAUGAAAGCAGUGAAAGUUUUGUGCUUUUCAUAGUAAGUUUGAUAUCAGUUAAUGGUCAAUGGGUGGGACUUGGGAGGCUUACAUUUGGUGCAGUUGCCAGUUUGUUUUGGGCGUUUGCUAUGGUUUUUUUUUUUUUUUUUUUUUUUUUUUUUUUUGUUGAAAAUUUUUCAAGUCCCGUGGACAAAAGAGUUGAGAGGCUAUUGCGAGAUUUCUGUGAGAAGGGAAAAAGGGAGCAUUGAUGAUGUGGAAAUUGGUUUCAGGAUCUAAGAGAAGAUAAGGUUUAGGUGUUGGAAUUUGGUUAAUAUGCAAGAGGAAUGCCAACUUAUCAGGGGAUUGGAGCGGGAAUUCAUCUUUUCUGAACAUCUUACCUUCAUGCUAAAAUAUGAAAAUUCUAUAUGGUCUUGAUAGGCCUUUUGAAAGCAUUCAUUUCACCAGGAUUUGACCCUUUUUCACGACUUUACUUGGUUUUGGGAAAGGGAUAGAACUAGAGUUGUGAAAGAUAAAUGGCUCUCCAUUGAUUUCAUUCCUGUACUUCGUUAGCGUUUGAACAUAACUUUAACUUCUUGGAGCCCAAAUGGUAGUGAAUAAAAUAGCGUCACUGCCUAUUAUCCCCAAUGGAGAUGUUUUCUUUUAUCUGUGAUUAAUAUACCUUUGGUUAUGGAAGAACUAGUGCAAAAAUAUUUGGUGGAAAUAAUGUGUAUUUUGCUGUAUUUUUUGGGUGGUUUGUUAUGUUGGGUUACUGUUCUCUCUUUUUUAUUCCUUUCCAAUGGAGGAGCUUUAGUUUGUUAAUAAUGUUUCCUGUGGUAGCUGUCUGUAGUGGCAAAAACAGAACGAAAUUAUGUUGUAUUGGAGAUUGCAUACAUUAGCGUUGGACUUCUUCUCUGCUGCUCAGCAUUAGUUUCUUUCUGGCUUCUUGAAAUGAAGUAUCCAUUUUAAGAAGCCAUUUUGUGCUUUGAUUUUCUUGUCUUUUAAUAAAAGCUGUUUGUUUUCCAAAAAAUAGAAAGCUGAAGAUCCAUUUCUUGCAAAAAAUCAAUAAGGCUUUUAUCUCUAGAAAUGUCAUAUUGAAUUGUAUAAGCCUGGUAUUAACUUUUCGAUACUAUCAUUCAAUGAUGCUUAUGAUGUUGCAUUUCUAUCAAUAUUCUGAAGUGCUACUUCUGUUUACAGGGCUACUUUACCUCCUUCAUUUGCUUUGGAGGUAUUUGUACAAUGCGAGGGAGAGACAAGAUUCAGGCGCCUCUGUCAGCCUUUCCUGUAUUCCCCUUCAUCAUCAAAUGUGCUAGAAGUAGAGGUAAUUAAUUAUCUUGUACCCAGUUAUAUAUCCUGAUGGAUGCUAUCCUCAUAGAGGGCAUUUUGAUGGUGGAUGGUUCAUUUUGAGCAAAUUAAUAUUUAGCUCUUUUUAUUAAUAAGUGAUUGAUUGGGUCACUAGCAAGUUUAACGUGAAUGCUGUUGUUACUUUUUUUUUUUUUUUUUUAAUUCUGUUUGAAUGCCUUAAAUAAUACACAUAUACCUGGACAGUUUGUUUGUGUUGAUAAGAAAGGAAUACUUAAUUAGACAUGUGAAAAAGUACAGAGAAAAUGGAUGAGAAGUCCCUCAAGCAGAUACUUGCACAGUUGAUACACCAGAAAACCUAGAAACACUAGGCAGAAAUUAUUUUUCAGUCAAGAAGGUUUCAGUGGAUGCUUAAAAUCUUCUUACGAGGACAGCCCUAGUGCAGCCUUUAUUUUCUUUGUUUGUUUUAUCGUGUUUAUAAAUUGCUUACGGAAAAAAGGCGGUCUUAUGGAAUAUAGCAAGUAUGGAUAUCUACUUACACACACAUAUAUAAAAAAAUGACCUCCAUUAAUGUGGAAAAAGAACACAACGUAGUAUAUUGGAAUUAUAGAGAGGUACAGGCCCUCUUGAGGGAAAUACUUUUGUUUGAGCCCUUUUGGAUUGGUAGAUGUACCUAGUUAUCGAUGUUGAUGACGGUCUCUUUAUUCAAUGGAAUAUGCAUAUGUAGACAUAUCCAUGCACAUGUGCGCACACACGUCUCUGCUUUUAUUAUGUUCAUUAUGCUGUAGCUUCUCAGAGCAUCUCGUUUCUCACAGGAAUCAUAUUUUUCUGCAGGCUGUUGUAACUAAUCAUCUGGUUGUAAGGGGGAGCUACCGUAGUCUGAGUUUGGUUAUAUACGGAAACACGGCCGAAGAUCUGGGGCAAUUCAACAUUGAAUUUGAUGAUAGCUCCAUAACUAAUCUUGUUAGCUCAGCUGAGGGAAAGCUUGAAGACCUCCCUCUGGCUUUACAUUCAACUAAUCUGACAAUUGAGGAAUCACUAUCAGCUCUGAAUACUUUAUCUUUACCUGUUACAGCAUCAGAUUUAUCUAUUGAAGUUAAGCAAUUAUUACAGCUGAUGUUGAAGAUUUGUGAGUUGCCCAAUCUAGGGGAUGCAUUGCAAAAAGUAGUUAGCACUGUAGUGUCAGCUGCCACUUGUUAUGUGACUUGCUCCUGGGGCAGAUCUAGUGACUGUGAAGAGCUACACAAGGUUCUUAUUGAGGCCAGAACAGAGCUUAUUCAGCUAUAUAAAUCCUUUAAAGAAGAAUCAGGGAAUGCAUCAGCUGAAUCAUUGGAAGACUGCGAUAUUUUUGUCUCUGAGACUGAUUUGGUAACUUCCAAACAGUUGGCUGAUUGGCUAAGUCGGUACUUUUUCUUCGAUAGGGACUUUUCAAGUGUUGGAUAUCACCAACUUCCACAGGUGAAUGCAAAACAGUUUCCUUCACUCUUCACAUUUUCAAUAUACAACUUAUAGCAACAAUGACAUAUGCCUCUCUCUCUCUCUCUCCUCCCCCCCCCCUUCCUUUUUUUCUCCUCCUCCUAUCUGCUAGCAUGGCUACAUUUAAUGUGAUCAAUUUUUGUUUUUCAGGAUACAAAUGUCAUGCUGGGGUUGAGUGUGGCUCUUCUUUUGUGCUCUGGAAGAGAGAGCUGCUUUCACUUUGUCAGCGGUGGGGGAAUGCAGCAGCUUGUACAUGUCUUCAGCCGUGACAAGCAGAAUUCUACCGCAACGACAUUACUUCUACUUGGAGUUAUUGAGAAAGCUACUCAGCAUUCUUUUGGCUGUGAAGGAUUUUUAGGUUGGUGGCCUCGUGAAGAUGAAAAUAUUCUAUCUGGUGUCAGUGAUGGUUACAGUAGAUUGUUGAAUUUGUUGCUUCAAAAACAGCGUCACGAUGUUGCUUCAUGUGCAACUUAUGUCCUUCAUCGACUUAGAUUUUAUGAGGUCACUGCAAGAUUUGAGGUAUACUUUCAAUUUGGUGAUGCUGGUUGUGGUUCUACAUGUGUACUUGUGACUUAAUUCAACUAGUUUCUUAUGGUAGUUCAUUUCUUGCAGUGUGCAGCUCUGUCUGUAUUGGGAGGUCUCUCUACUAUUGGUAGGGUGACGAGUGAUACUUUGGAAAUGCUUAUCUGUGCAAAAUCGCAACUCAAAAAACUCUUGGUCAGUCAUUAUUUAUACUUUUUUAACCUUUGUUUUUGUUUGUAUUUGAAUCCUGUUUAUCUGUUUAGGAUGACUUCAGAUGUCACUGUCAUUAUUUAUUGACAAGAAUUUCUGCAGAAAUUGAUAACUUCACGUGAUCCAAUUGAAGAUCCUUCCCCAGUUGCCCGUGCAACCAGAAAAUUGAUUCUUGGUCAAACUGAAGGUUUGUUGUCAUAUAAAGCAUCCAGUGACUUGAUUGCUUCAUCAAAUUGUUGUUUCUCAAAUCGGGAUAUCGACUUGCAUUUGCUGGAUCUUCUCAAGGUAUAUCUCCCUCUUUGAAUUUCAGAAUACUCCUUUCGUUCAAAGAUGUGGUUAAUUUAUAUUGUAUCUGUAAUAUAAGGAAAAUACUGUGUUUCAUUUUUAAUUUACUUGAAGGGAUCCCUCUUAUAUAUAUGUAUGUAUUCACUUGAAGGAUCCCAUAUGCAAUGCAUAUCUGUGUUGGAUGUUACUGUUGUUUCUAACUAUUAUUCUAAAUAAGGCUUAGCAUAACGCCACGACUCCAUAACCUUUAUCUACUAUUUUGUUCUUGCUAAAAUACUGACAAUCUUUGUAUACCUAAUGGACUGAUUGAUGGGAUAAAUAACAUAUUAUUCUGCGUGCAACCACCCUCCUUUACCUGGCUUGGGACCAAUUGUGUAAACGAGGAAUACUAUGCUUGCUAACUACAGCCUUUUUCUUUGGAUUUUGGAUUUGUACUACUAUGUUCUGGAGUCCUCCCUUCAAGGUUGUUUACCUGUCUUAGUUGAGGAUAUGUUGUAGACUAGUAGUGACUUGGCCGCAUGAAAUUAUUAUUUGGUUUUUUCUCUUGAGGUUUUUGACUCCAGUUCCCACGCACAAAGAAUAAAAAGGAAAGGAAAAAGAAAUUCUAUGCUUGCUGUAGAUAGGUAUAGGUAAGCAUGAAAAGAUUUGAAGACAUGUUACUAAGGUUGCAGAGGACACGUAGGGUUUGGAUAUAUCCGGGUGCCUGAAGAUAGUCAACGCUCAAAGCUUAGUUGAAUUUAAUGGUUUUUAUAUUACACACGCCCAUGGACAUAUGCCCGAAGUAUAUACAAACUUUGCAGUUGCUCUGACAAGGGAAGGGGAAGGGAAGAGGAGAAAUAGAACCAGUAGCGAUAGACAGAAGAGGGAGGGAGAAAGAAAGGACAAGGGAAAGAGAUUAACAAGAAAAAAAAAAAGUUAGGGUUCUAUAUCAAAUCAUGGCCUAUUAUUAGGCCAGUCUGGAGAUCUCAUUGAAAUCAAAUUCCUUGGUUAAACUCUCCAUUUAAAUUAAUCAUGAUGAAUUGUCCUACUUCCCUAUCGGGAUUGAACUCAAAUCAAAAUUCUAAUAAAUUAAAUACCUUACCAAUUCAUUUUCUCUUCUCUGUCACACACACUCACUCUCUCUCUCUCNNNNNNNNNNNNNNNNNNNNNNNNNNNNNNNNNNNNNNNNNNNNNNNNNNNNNNNNNNNNNNNNNNNNNNNNNNNNNNNNNNNNNNNNNNNNNNNNNNNNNNNNNNNNNNNNNNNNNNNNNNNNNNNNNNNNNNNNNNNNNNNNNNNNNNNNNNNNNNNNNNNNNNNNNNNNNNNNNNNNNNNNNNNNNNNNNNNNNNNNNNNNNNNNNNNNNNNNNNNNNNNNNNNNNNNNNNNNNNNNNNNNNNNNNNNNNNNNNNNNNNNNNNNNNNNNNNNNNNNNNNNNNNNNNNNNNNNNNNNNNNNNNNNNNNNNNNNNNNNNNNNNNNNNNNNNNNNNNNNNNNNNNNNNNNNNNNNNNNNNNNNNNNNNNNNNNNNNNNNNNNNNNNNNNNNNNNNNNNNNNNNNNNNNNNNNNNNNNNNNNNNNNNNNNNNNNNNNNNNNNNNNNNNNNNNNNNNNNNNNNNNNNNNNNNNNNNNNNNNNNNNNNNNNNNNNNNNNNNNNNNNNNNNNNNNNNNNNNNNNNNNNNNNNNNUUCUGGUUUUUUUUUUUUUUUUUCAUAUGAUUUAUUGACUGCUAAAGACGUCCUUUUUGUAGGCUGUUAAAAUUUUGAUUGAAGCAUUACAUUCUGCCAAGGAACCGGAGCCGCUUGCUAAAAAUAGUGGUUGUCAACUUGCUCUAUUUUAAGUCUGAAAGUUUAAAGCCAUGCACUUUUAGUUCUGCUUUACUCAUUUAAACGAUUCUGAAUGUUCAGGAGCCUCACCGUUAAAUCUUGCGAUAUUUCACUCAGCUGCCGAGAUUUUUGAAGUUAUUGUUUCGGAUUCAACUGCCUCUUCUCUUGGAUCCUGGAUUGGACAUGUUACGGACCUCCAUAGGGCUUUACAUACCUCUUCUCCAGGGUCGAAUAGGAAGGAUGCCCCCACAAGGAUGUUGGAAUGGAUAGAUGCUGGAGUAGUAUAUCAUAAAAAUGGAGUUACAGGUCUUAUACGAUAUGCUGCUGUGAUUGUUUCCGGAGGAGAUGCGCACUUGACUUCAACCAUCCCUCUUGUGUCGGAUCUAACAGAUGCAGAGAAUGUUAUUGGAGAUACUUGUGGUGGUUCAGAUGUUAAUGUUAUGGAGAAUCUUGGAAAGUUCAUCUCUGAUAAGACUUUUGAUGGUUUGACUCUUCGUGACUCUUCUGUAGCACAGUUGACAACAGCAUUUCGCAUUUUGGCUUUCAUUUCAGAGAACUCGGUAUGCGAAUUUCUAGUCUUUGAGUGUACCGUUAGAUGGAUUGCUUGGCUCAUGUUGUCUUGUUGAUGCAGACUGUUGCCGCUACUCUAUAUGAUGAAGGAGCAAUAGCAAUAAUCUAUGCAGUUUUGGUCAACUGUAGGUUUAUGCUCGAAAGGUCCUCAAACAGUUAUGGUAUGUUUGUCAGUUAGAUUGUUUUUUUCAUUUUAUUAUCAUAAUCAUGCUUAUUAUUAGUAGUAGUAGUAGUAGUAGUAUGCAUUCAUGUGAUUCAGCACCAAACUAGCAUUCUAUAACAUCACUUGUGCAUUUUCUCUCUCUCUCUCUCUCUAUAUAUAUAUAUAUAUAUAUAUUUCAAAACCUGUUGGUGGGGGAGAAAGGGUAGUGACCAAAUCAAUGGUUAUUUGUUGAACUAUUAACAUAAUGAAUAUGUAUUAUCGGUCAUUGAGUAACUCAUUAGUUUACUUUUGAGAAAAAAAUGAUAGAUUAAUAAAUCAUAUUAAAAGAAUUAGACUAUGUGAAGUUAUGUUUUUCCAAUUCUUAUCUAUUCAUUCAUUCACUUAUCUUCCAGAGAGUAAUGAUACAUCCUGCAAUGUUUCGGUCCUUAGUGUGUCAUGUCUCUUGCAGAGGACGACACAUGAAAAACAAUCAUGUAAAGUAAGAAUAAUACUGUUUGUGUAGCAUAUUCUACUUUCUACAAUUAAUAGACAACAAACUAGGUUGCUUGACUCAUGCAUGGUGUCCAGGAAGCUUGUAUUUUAGUCAUCCAAUGUAGAAUCAAUCCGAGCUGAUGAUCCAUCUGGUACAACUGGCUGGUUGGUUUGGCCUGGUUCUUAAACAUUGCUCUCUUCAAUUUGGGAGAUGCAAUUUCUGUCUCUGGCUUGUAUAUGUUUUAUUUUUAUUUUUCUCUCAUUGAAAUAAGGAGAAGAUUUGGAUUUGACCUAUAGGAUUGAAGCUGCUAAAUACGUGUGAAUUCAUUCUGAUAGUGGUCCCCUCCCCCCAUUGGGAUAAUUUCUUGGACAUACUCUCUUUGCUUGAUAGAGCUAGAUCUACUUGAAAACACAACUUUUAGGACAUUCCUAGAUUUUCCACUCUGGACUCUGGAGAAAUCAAAUUAUUAUCAUGACUGUAUGCUAUGCUUUCUGAGUUCUGUUUGUGCACAGAUAUUUAUCACAUAUCACUGUAUCUGUGUGGUUGUCUACAGUGUCCACUAAGUACUAUAGUACUUGUGAUUUUGCUUUCAGUUGUCGCUACAACUGUGUACUGUAUCAAGAUCUUAAUGUUCCACAUUUUGGGAUUUUUUAGAUGGUCUAUUUAUUUGUUUAACUUCUUAUGUCGUUUUGUCUUGAACAGAUUACCUUGUUGACGAGGGCACAGAAUGCAACUCUACAUCAGAUUUACUGCUGGAACGUAAUCGUGAGCAGAGUUUAGUUGAUCUUCUGGUUCCAACUCUUGUGUUGUUGAUCAAUUUAUUGCAGAAAUUGAAGGUUUGCUUCAUUUAAUCCUAUAGCCUCUAUAUGAUUGUGGUUUUUAUGGGAAGUUUCAUUUAAAUGAGUGAAGUAGCAUUAUCCUUCUACGGAUUUUAUAGAUAAUUAUUACAAUCUUGGUGUUCUUAAAACCCAUAUGCCAGAUCCUUAAAUGUUGAUAAUUUGAUUGUAGAAAACCAUAUUAUGUCUUGGACAGGGGAUGGUUGUGGUUAAAUAGAAAAUUACACAAAGAAGUUUAUUAGGUGAUAACUGUAGGAUGACUACUGUCAGCCUUGAUUCUAGAUAAAUUUUCAAACGAGGAUGCUACGGCUAGGGUGUUUGCAUGUUAGAAAAUCAUGAACUUUAAUUUCAUUCUACUCAUGAAACCUGGGGAUUAAAUGAACAGAACACCAUUGUGUCUUCUAAGCUUGAUCUGAUCUUGGACUUCAGUACUUGUUGUUUUUGACUAUGUAUGCUUUAUCAGUUGUUUGUUAAAAUGUGGUCUUAAAUCUGUAGGAGGUACAAGAGCAGCACCGGAAUACCAAAUUGUUGAAUGCGCUUCUACGAUUGCACCGAGAAGUAAGGUAACUGGGCCAUCCUCCUUUUUCUCCUCCCUUAAUUUUUAUUUUUGUUUGCAUAAAAUUUGACUUAAUUUUUUGUUUGUAGUCCGAAACUAGCCGCAUGUACUGCAGACCUAUCGUCUCCUUAUCCUGAUUCUGCCCUUGGGUUUGGAGCUAUCUGCCAUCUUCUUGUCUCAGCGCUUGCUUGUUGGCCAAUCUUUGGCUGGACUCCUGGGCUUUUUCACUCUCUCCUUGCUAGUGUUCAAGUUACUUCCUUGCUGGCCUUGGGUCCAAAGGAAACAUGCAGUUUGCUAUGCCUUCUGGUAUGCCAGGUUUCUUUUCAUUAUUUCCUUUUGUUUGGAUGAUCAUGCUGAACUGUCUUCAUACCUGAGGGACAUGAAUAUGGAACAUUUCACUAGAAGCCUGUCUUAGACCGGCACAGCUCUUCCCUAUGAUGAAUGAAUACACCUAAAAAAUUACUAUGCUAUAUUUUACCCCUAUCCAAUCGGGAACUUUUCAUAAACUUUGAGUUUUGGAUACGCUGAAGAUAAUGCAUACAGCAUACUGCAGACAUGACGGGGUUGUCUUAAAUAUUUUCAGACAUGCUAAAAGACAACUUUGUCAUCUUCGAAAUUCUGAAUAAAGAGGCUAAGGUUUUUCUUUUUGUCCAUUAAAGUUAAAAUAAUAGUUUGAGAAGAGAAACAAUAGAUNNNNNNNNNNNNNNNNNNNNCUUCUGGGGUGGAGGUGCGCCGUUGCCGGCGCCGGAGGGUGGAGAACGGACAGACGUCCGCAUUUUAAGCCGAGUGCGGACGUCUGCUUCACAUCCGGCCUUAUAUAUAUAUAUACAGAGCCGUUCUAAAGAGGACGUCCGCACAGGCGUCCCUCCGUUCGCCAUUGUAUGGCGCCGCUGAGGGCGCGCCUCCACCCCAGCAGCGUCCCCGACCACUUUCCAUCCCCGGCGAGUCCGCGAAAUUCCAGUUUUCCGGCCAGAUUGACUUCGUUUGAAGUUUUGGGUGAUCUGGCCGGAAAACUGGAAUUCGGCGGACUUACUAAGGAGGGAAAGUGGUCGGGGACGUUGCUGGAGUCUGCUGGGGUGGAGGUGCGCCCUCGCCGGCGCCCUAUGGUGGCGAACGGAGGGACGUCCGCACUUUAGGGGCUGUGCGGACGUCCUCCUCUGAUCCCGACUGUAUAUAUAUAUAUAUACACACAUUCAUGUGUGUGUGUAUACAUAUACAUGUAUAUAUUUAUUAAAUCCUAGAUGUAUCAUAUCUUGUUUAUUCAUUUAUUUUUGCCAUAUCCACUUGUCGUGUCGUAUCAUAUCCCAUACCCAUGUGAGUGAAACAUAAGCUCUUCAUAGAAGCAGGACCGUACGAGAAAACUCUGAUUUAGCAAGCCUGACCAUUUAACACCUAAACAAGCUUGUUGCAUGAUAUAAUUUUCUUCAAGUGAUUACUGUUGACUCAUUGACCCAUAAGUCAUACCUAGUGGUGCCCCACCUCCAUUCUGGGUUUUUGUUUACCACCCACCCAGUGCACCAAAGAGAAUAAUGUUAUGUGGAGAAUCAUGAUAUAUUGGAUUAUUGGUUAUUCAUCUUGUAAAAGGUGUAAUGAAUUUAUGGAAUUGGCUCAAUAACUACUUGUUUAAUCUUCUAUUUUGCUUACAAUGAGCGAUUGUCUAGCAUGGAUAGUUAUCUUUCUGAUGCUUUUAUUUAGUAAGAUAUUAAAUUUGGUAACCAUUUGCGCCUAUAAAUUGAUAAUUAUUAUGUUUUUUUAGAUCCAUGUCCUGUUGUCCUUAUGUUAUUUUUCCUUUUUCUGCCUUUGCAAGAAUGAUUUAUUUCCAGAAGAAGGGGUCUGGCUCUGGAAAGAUGGGAUGCCUUUGCUGAGUGCCCUUAGAAAGUUGUCUGUUGGGACGCUUUUGGGUCCUGAGAAGGAGAGACAGGUCAACUGGUAUCUGCGUCCUGCAAAUCUUGAGAAGUUGCAGAGCCAAUUCACACCACAUCUGGACAAAAUAGCCCAGAUUAUACAACAUUAUGCUAUAUCUGUAUGUUAUCUUUUGAAUUAAGUCGCUGGUUUUUUUUACCUUUUCUUUUCUAGCUAGAACCUUUAAGACAAAAGGGUAGGUAGUAUGUGCUUUCUCAAUGAUAUAUCUUGCAUAAUUGGUGGAUCACUUUAAACAGGAAUUGGUUGUUAUUCAAGACAUGCUUCGAGUUUUUAUUAUUCGCGUUGCUUGCCAAAAAAGUGAAAGUUGCUCUGUUCUUCUACGGCCCAUAUUCUCAUGGAUUCGUGAUCAUGUUUAUGAGUUGCCUUCUCCAUCAGAUAUGGAUGCUUAUAAGGCAAGUGUAUUGCAACUGAUUUAUAGUUGGACUAAUUUUGGUGAAUUGUGUUUGUCUGUUUUCUUCUGAUAUAUCCUCUUUUCAGGUUUAUAGAUAUCUUGAUUUCGUUGCGAGCUUAUUAGAGCAUCCACGUGCCAAGGUUUUAUGUUUUUUCAUUUUAUUAUUAUUUUUUGUUUUUUGUUUUUGUUAUUGUUUCUGAUGUUACCACACAUUUUUCUUAUACUUGUCUAUACCUUUUCAGGCACUAUUGUUAAAGGAGGGUGCCAUUCGAAUGCUAACUAGAGUGCUCGAUAGGUGUUUAGCUACUGCUGAUACAGAUGGAACCCCGAUCCUAGCUGGUAGAAGUUCAGCUAAAUCCGGGUUUCCUGUGCUCAGUUGGUGCCUCCCUGUAUUCAAGUCCUUCUCACUGAUUUCCAUUUCUCACGCAAGUCUACACAAGGAUUUGUGAGUAGAUAAUAUGUGCAUAUAUCAUCACGUUUUUUAUUAUUUAAGAUGAUACAGAUGCUAAAAUACUUCAUUGGAUAACAGGCACAAGUUUGCAAACGUGAGUACUGAAGAUUCUAUAAUGAUAUUAAAAUAUCUCCUCCGGUUUUCUCAGGUAACUUGCUCCUUAUGUUGUGAGUAAUGUUCGAGAUGCAUGAAUUAGCGUUGAUUAAUCCAUCUGGAUAUUUUUCUUGUGUUGUUACUUCUUUUUAUUUUGUGAGAUGGGGUUUGGAACCUCCCAGAAAAGUUGAGUUGUUACUUCUGUAUACAAAAUGCAAUUGAGCACGAAGUGCUAGCUACCUUCCUUCAUGUAGUCCAUUGAUCCACUAGGUUUAUAUUGUUCUAACGAAAUAAGCCAUUUGCUUGAGCAGAGCAACUGUUUUUUGCUUUUUGUCCUCUUUUGGUUCAAGACAUUCCCGAAAAUUGAGCAUUGCAUAUGACUACAUUUUCUGGUCACUGCUCGUUUGAUGACCCUUAUUGGAAUUAUAUUGUGAAAACUGAGUAAAUUUAACUUCAGAAUGUAAAACUAUCUAGAGGAGGUAAAAAUUAUGAAACUUCUUAUUUCCUUAGUUUAUGCUGAUGGUAGCCUCGUUUUUACCAGGUUCUUUCAGCUGGAAAAGAAUUACUUGCAUGCCUUACUGCUUUCAAAGAACUAGGUUCUUGUAAUGAAGGCCGAAGUGCUUUAGCAGCCGCUUUUUAUGGUCUUCACUAUAUUGCCGAGGAUCGUGAAGCAUAUAAAGGACAUGAACAGGAUGGAAAUGGUAACAGUUGUCUUCUUAACGAAUCGGAAUGGAGAAAGUGCCCUCCUUUGUUAUUUUGCUGUAAAUCGUUGUUAAGGUCAGCUGAUUCAAAAGACGGUUUAUCAAGUUAUGUGAUUGAAGCUGUCAAUGCACUGUGCAUGGGAUCUUUAUGGUUCUGCCUUGACGGGGAAAGGUGAUUUUUCUUACCUUACUGGUUAUUUUAUUGAUUUAGCUAAAAGUCAUAUACUUUGUAGUUGACUUGCUAUAUCUUUAGAUUACCAUUGUCAUUUUAAUUCCCUACAUAUUACCAAGAUUUAGUUGCCUUUUACCAUAAAACUUUAUUGUUUUCCUCAUGCUUGUUAGUUUAUACAAUAUUGAAAUAGUAGUUGCAUUUUAUUGGUUUCAAAUACUUCUACACUUAACAACCAUAUUAAUUGCCCUUAAGGAUACUAGUUAUAGUAUUGGGAGUUUGUUGUGGAAAGAUGAUUUCUGCUAGAGGGCAUUAUUUGAUUCUUCACACUUAAUUAAGAUUACAUUAUUUGGGCAGCGAAAGAUUAUGCUAGACGACACUAUUAUUCUUUUUUUAUUGUUCUUUACUGCUUAUUUCAUGUGUGUGUGUGUGUGUGUGUGUGUGUGUGUGUGUAGAUGCAUGAUGAGCCAGACAAGUUAGCUAAGUUGUGCUUUGGGUAGAAGUAUCCUUAGGCUUUGUUACAAUUAAUAUAUUUUGUUUAUCAAACAUAUAUAUUCAUUUGUACUCCAUUUAAAAAUUACUUGUUAUUCAAAUAGGUAGUCGAUCUGAAAUUGGUCGCAGGCUUUUUGUAACUAUUCUCCAUAUAAGAAAUAACUUGACAAUAGAUCUUGGGAUUUAUUCUACUCCCAUUGUGUUAUGUACAUGAAAUGUGCGCAUUCAUGUGCGCAGGGAGCGCAUAGUGACAUCAUAUUGAUGUAUGUAGCAACUUCCUAGAUGUAAUAUGAAUAUGAAUGUGAAUGCUUAUAUACUCUAUUUAGUCUACUAAGAAAGUGAGCAAGUGUGUUGAUAAAUCAGGUACCAUACUCUGUUUCUUUUUCUUUUCUUUUUCGCUAUAUGCCAAAACGAUAUUCAUCAAUCAGUAGUAUAAUACUCAAAGUCUGAAUUAAUUGAUCCGAUUCCUAGGAUCAGCCUUCUAUACCAGAAGGCUGCCAUUGACCAAUUGUAAUUACAGGAAAUUUUGAUUUGCCAGUUGGAUCUCUCUGUUUCACAUGGGUCUUGUACAUAUUCACUUUCAUAGUUUUUUUGCUCCGUAUAUGCAGUUCUUCCAUGUUCUGUGUAUGAUGCUUUAAUCAUUUUGUCAGCUUUUAGACUUAUGGUUUGCUCUUAUUAGAUUGAAACCAGACAGGGUUAUUGCGGUGAAAUUCCUUUUUGGUCUACCUGAUGAUAUAGGCUCAACAGAUGGUGUUGCAGAAGAAAACUUGAACUGCAUUCAUGAUCUAAUCUCUGUGUUGACGGCAGUAGCUGAUGAGUAUGUUGCUAAAUCUGAUGUUCAGAUCCCCUUGCAUGAGGUAUAGCUAACAAAACUUUUAGAAGCUUCAUUUGUUCGUAUAAUAUGAUCAUGUCUGACAUCUUUAUAUCAAUGUACAGGUUUUAGAAUCCGCAAAGUUAUUAAUGCUGUUGUUGCAGAAGCCUAGUUCUUUGUUAAAGAUGGAUGAUAUCUUUGUUAGUGAUAGUGUUCCUGUACCACCAAAUGUUGCAUUAUCUUCAAAGAUCCAUCUAAUCUCAGAUGGUGGUGCUGAAAUGACUGGUGAUUAUCUUUAUCAAGGAGCACUUGGAGAUAAGUUUCAGUGGGAGUGUCCUGAAACGUUGCCGGAUAGAUUGUCACAAUCAAAUCUUUCUGGUAAGAGGAAAAUGUCGUCACUUGACGGCCCAAAUAGGCGUGCUAGGGGAGAAAGUUCCGUGGCUGAGAUUACAACCCAAAAUGCAUUUGCUAGAGGUUUGGCCUCGACUACUGCCUCCUCUGGUCCUACUCGCAGGGAUACCUUUCGGCAGCGGAAACCAAAUACUAGUAGACCCCCUUCCAUGCAUGUUGAUGACUAUGUUGCAAGAGAAAGAAAUGAUGGUGGUUCCAAUGUAAUAGCAGUCCAGCGGGUUGGAUCGUCUGGUGGGAGACCUCCUUCAAUGCAUGUGGAUGAAUAUAUGGCCAGGGAAAGGGAACGCCGGAAUCCGUUGUCAACGGUAGUUGGGGAUGCAACAAUACAGGUGAAGAGUGCAACACCCGUGAAUGACUCACCUAUGGAGAAGUUGAACAAGCCUAAACAAUUGAAAGCUGAUCUUGAUGAUGAUCUUCAAAUUGACAUACAAUUUGAUGGUGAGGAGUGUGAACCUGAUGACAAAUUGCCCUUUCCUCAGCCUGAUGAUAUUCUACAGCUGCCUGCUCCUGUGGUUGCUGAGCAAAGCUCUCCACACUCUAUUGUUGAAGAGACAGAGAGCGAUGUUCACUCCACACCGCUAACAUCUAAUAUGGAUGACAACACACAAAGUGAAUUUUCUUCCAGGAUGUCAGUUUCACGUCCUGAAAUGCCUUUGACUCGAGAACCAAGUGUUUCUUCAGACAAGAAGUAUUUUGAGCAUUCUGAUGAGUCAAAGAAUCCUACAUUUGUUAAGGCUUCUAGUGGUUUUGAAUCUACAGCAGCAGGAAAUAGUCCUAGAUUCCCUGUCUUUGGCUAUAAUAAUUCAUCGGGACCUUCUGCACAGUUGCCAGUUGAUUCAAGAAUGAAUCCACAGAAUUUUUUUCCAAAGAACAGUUCACAACAUGUAGGUAAUGUGCCUAUGGCUACAGGUUCUCCAGGAUUUUAUGACCCGAGGUUUCUUUCAAAUCAACCUCCUUUACCUCCAAUGCCGCCUCCCUCAACAGUUGCAGCUUUGAUGUCUCAGACUUCUGAUACAGUUCCAAGUCAAUCAUCCCCGUUUGUGAACUCCAUGAAUGAGGGACAGCAGCCCUCCACAACCUAUCAGGUCAGUUCUUAAGGCAUGUUCUUUAGACUUUUAAUUCAGCUCUAUUUCUGGUAUAUCUGCAUAUAUUAAUGUCUUGAUUGCUCUUGGCAGAUUCGUUCAGAUUAUCCUUCUGCAUUCAAUAAUGGUUCUUCAUCCAGAAGUUCCAUCUCUUCUCCUAGUGGGGCUGCCAGGGCCCCUCCACCGCUUCCUCUUACACCACCUCCUUUUUCAUCCAGUCCUUAUAAUGUAACACCCAACAGAACUUCUAUUGCCCAGUCAACAGUAUAUAACCAGACAAGUGGUGGAACAACUGAACUCCCUCAGGGCUCUACUGCACCUUCGGGGGCCAGAGUAAAUGCCUAUUCAUCACCUGCCCUGGUGCCUCAUAUGGUUUUCAAUAGGCCAGGUUCUAAUUCUAUGACUAUCUAUGGACACGUCCCAACUCAGCUGCAGGGUGACAACCCUAAUAUGCUGCAGAAUCUUUCUGUCCCCCAAUCUCCAAUGCAGUCUAUUCAUACUGGUGGUCAGUUGCAGCCACUACAGCCCCCACAGCUUCCUCGUCCUCCACAACCACCCCAACAUCUUAGGCCACCUAUACAAGCUUCACAACAUCUGGAACAGGGUCCUUUGCAGAGCCCAGUUCCGAUGCAUUCACUGCAAAUGCUGCAACAGCCAAUGGUUUCACCUAUGCAGGCCUAUUAUCAAUCCCAACAAGAGUUUGCUCCUAUACAUCAGCAAGUUGACUAUUCUCAACACCAGGUUUUGCCUCAAUCAGGGGAUACUUCAUCCCAACAGCAACAAGACCCAGGAAUGUCAUUACAGGAAUAUUUCAAGUCUCCAGAAGCUAUUCAGGUAUAUUUACAUUAUCUAUUCGGUAAUUUGUAGAGGCAUAGAACAAUCUAUUGCACACUGGAAUAGGCAUAGAACAAUCUUUCAUGCAACUAUCUUUUUGGGGAAGUUUCAGCAUUUGAGCUGUGUUGAACUAUCUGGUUUUCAGCGUUUGAGCUGUUGAACUGUGGUCUGAAAUUUUUAUGUGUUUCAUCUGACCUUGGUCCAUUCUAUUUAUUUUUUCAUUUCAUGACAGUCUCUAUUGGGUGACCGAGAAAAACUUUGUCAAGUUUUGGAGCAGCAUCCAAAGUUAAUGCAGAUGCUUCAGGUAUUUUCUUCAGACCUUUUCAUCCCCCAAAGUAACUUUCAUGGUGGUUUUGGUAUUAAAUUUUUAAUGUGGAGAAACACUUACAGUUUGGUGAGCAUUUUGAUGAAAUAAUUUUUAGCCAGGAUUUCAAUUUGCCAACAAUAAUGAAAAUUGAGAUGAAAUAAGUGGAUAGAAUUAUUAAAUGGAAUUUGAAAACUAAACAGAGAAAUUAAUUGAAGUCACUCCUCCCAUGUGGUCCUUUGUGCUUUCUUGGGAAAUUCUAAUUAUGAUUUGAAAGUACUGUGGUGAUUUCUUGGCCUUUGUAUAUUCUUUUUUGUUUUCAUAUUCUCUAAUAUAAUGUUGCUGAAUUAACUGUAUCUUCUGGAGGGCUCCUCCCCUUCCCCAUAUAGAUAGGAGAGAGAGCAUUCCAUAUCUUCAUAUUCUUUGUCCUUCUGUAGUUGUAAUAUAUUGUUGCUGGGAUAAUGGCAUUUUUCUUCGAUAUGGGCUUCUUUCCAUUCCAAUGGGGAGAGCUGUUGCAAGUUAGAAACAUGUGCAAUGUAAGAAUACCUUAGAUAGUAUGCUAUCCCAAUUCAUGACCCACUAGUUUUGGUUGCUUCUUGUUGUUUAACAGGAGAAGUUGGGCGCUCAGCUAUAGCAGAAUGACUUGGAACCAAUGGAGCCUUAUUUUUUUCGGGAGUUUAUUUGAUCGAUCAUUAGAUUUUUGUCCUGUUGAAAUUUUGUUCAUAAUGUACUGUAAAUGUGUAACGUACUGUAAAUGUUUCAUGUACAUUAUGUUACGUUUUUUCAUCAACCUUUAUAGCCUUGUAAUGUAAUUUUGGCUUCCUCCAGCUUAUUAGCUGCAAAUGUCUGAUCUGUAGGUCACUGGAGCAUGUAUAAGAUAAUAUGGCCUUGACUCAAAGCUACAAGGUGAAAAAAUUUGUACAAGUAUUGUGGAAGUGUAUAGAUUAAUAUCCUAUUCAUCCGAGGGUGGCAUUGCAAAUGCAGUCAUUUGCUAGGGAAGUGAAAUUUACACCAUCUUGAAAACUACUCGUUGGUUUUUCUUUUCUUUGCCAGUGACUCGAACAAAAUUUGUUUAAAUUUAGUGUAAAUAUGUUUGGAAAUUACAAAUAAGUUUGUGCCUUUCAUACCAGCUAGAAUCUUGCCUUUUUACUAUAUGAUCCAAAUUUAGUGUCUUCCUAUUACUAGAGCUAGCGUAAUGGUGGACCGUCAUUGAGCGUGCGUUGGUUGUGUUCGACACAUUUUGUCUUGAUGACUGUGGCAACGUCAAAUUGUGACAAAUGUUGAUUAAAGUUCCAUUUACCAAAAGAAGAAAAAAAAAUUAGAAGUGACAAAGUUGGUUCCUAAUAGAUGGCGUUGAGACUGCAAUUGGUCGCACCAAUGCAUUAUAGGCUUAUUUGUGUAAAUAAUCAGGAGAUAUUAUUGGCCAGCAUGCACUUUAUAAUGCAUGCCGUCCUCAUACUUCAUAAUUUGAGCAGAGUUUUGCAAGUUCGUAAGGAGUUUGCGAUUGAAGAUAAAUGUUUUAUGUAAUUACCGGUACAUUAUAAUAGCUGCCCAAGAUUUAAUAGGAUGCGAGAGUGGUUGAGUAUGAAUCUCUUGGUGAUCAGUUAGAGACCGGGUGAACACGGUUAUGUCUGCCAUACAGACACGGGUAUUUUUUUUUUUUUCUUGUUAUUUAUAACUUCUCUUCUCUUCUCUUGUUUGUAGGGGCGUAGCUACAUUGGAACCAGAAGGUUCAAAUGACCCCUGUGAGGUUAUGACAACAAGCAUCAAUUGGUUGAUGAUUUCAUAUAUAUUACAUUUCAAUGUAUAAAUAGACCCCUCUAUCAUAAAAAGAAAGAAAGAAAAAGACAAGAUGAGAUUGUCAUUGACCAAUAAAAAAAGAUGAGAUUGUACGUGAGAUUGUUCGAUCUGCCUACAAAUUUUUAUUAUGUUAGUAGAUUUCUAAAACAGUAAAACAAGUCAUGGCUUCAUAUUGAUCAUGAUCAUCAAACUUUAAAUUGUAAUUUACGACCCUUCUAGUUAAGAUUUCUAGCUACGCCAUUGCUUGUUUGUAAUGGUUUCCAACUCUUGGCAUAGUGUUUAAGAGUAUUAUGUAUUUUGCUAUUUUAAUUAUGAUCAGUAGUUGCUUCGCCAGUCACUAAUGUACUCGACACUUGACUGCGUACAGUUGCUUCAACUGACUGGUUUCCUUUCCGAUUGACAUUCUCACAAUUCUACUUAUGCAUGAUCAUCGUAUAUGCAAGAGGACUAAUUUAAAUAAUUCACAAGCUACCGAUCCAAGAAACCCAUGAUCCAAGAGAUCCUCUCUAUGUAGAUGUUGUAUAUAUAACUAUUUAAGCACCGACGAAAGGGACAUUCCUACUUUAAGAAAUUCUGGACUCCAGAGCUACACAUGCUCUGUGCAUGCGUACGUUUCUCUUUCUUUUUGGUUUAAGAGCUGAAUACCAAGAUAUCAGGACUACAGUAUAGAGAGAACAUUAGCAAAAGAGCAUGCCUUUGUCUAGCAGGUUUAUAUAGUUAAAAGUUAAAACCCGAUGGCAGCGAUACUUGGAAAGUCGUUUGAUACCUAACGCAAACUGGAUUUUAUUCUAUAUUAAUGGCUGCCUACGUAUAUGACCAGUAUUCCAUUGUUAAUUUAUCCCUGUAUACAGUACAAUUCCGAUUCAUAUCAUUAUUAAUCCAAAACAACAGGAGUUUCACACAAUGGAAACUCUAGGCUUGAUACCUAGAUUUCUAGGUUGUAUCACUAGCUAUGAGAGCUUAGCUUUAGUCUAACUAUUAUCUUGUGGGUGAGCUGUGGUAUGGUUGGUUAAGAUGUUUAACUAACAACUUUGAGGUCAUGAGUUCAAAUCUCACUAACAUAUAUGUAAGGUGUGUGAGUUAUUUAAUAAAAAAAUUUACAAAAAAAAAAAAAAAAAUACUAGCUAUUAUCCAGUCAUUUGUCCAUUUGACUUGUGUGAUGUAUAUGAAUAUUACCUUAUCCGCGAUACCGGAACUGCAUGCUUAUACUUGCGACAUGAUGUGGGUUAAUGUGAAGAAGCGCCUUUGAGAAUAUAGAAUCUCAGAAUAGAGUUAGAGACUAAUUCUUUCAAGGUAUAUAACAUGGAUCUUGUCCAUCUCAAUCUAUAUAUCGUCAUAUGGUCAAUAUAGACAGUGAAAUUAAAGACAUAAAUAACCCACCAAAAUUCAACUAUAGCUAGUACUAUUUACUGUUUUAAAUUGGAAACGAUGAAUUGAGCUGGGUAAACAACAGGCCGGUAUGCUAAUCGAAAAAUCUCUGUUCAUGAGAUUUGAAUGUAAUUCUGGUAAUCAACAUAUUCUUUAUAGGUUUUAGAAUUGGAACACUAAAAAGUGGGGAUAGUUAUAGCAGUGUAGCACUUGGAUAUCUUCCAUGAGAGCCAUUAGUAAAAUUGCAUACAUGUUAUUAUAUGAGGAGCUGCUGCUUCUCCAAGGAACCUGAAAUCACGAUUCCGAGGGUUUUGCUUCCUGCACCAUUACCGUUGUGCUCCGUGUGGCAAACACCGACACCCUCUAUCAGCCUACGGAACUGUACAUACUAAACGGCACCAAAACCCUAAUUGAUCGAUUACCCUAUUCACACUCUUCAUGUACACGCUCGCCUGCAUUAUUAAUUUCCAAAAGAUACAUAAACCCUACCCUAUCUACCUUCAUAGCUACAUAGACCAGUCUUACAAGUUACACUGAUCUCUCUCUCCCUCUCCCUCUCCCUCUUUCUAUUUCUAUUUCUAUUAUUUCUGUUCCUCUCUCCUCUGUGCAAUAUAAUCUUAGAGAGAGAGAGAGAGAGAGAGGUUAGGGUUUGAUGAAGCCUUCAAUACUGGUGAUAUAUGGAGAGUUCUGGAUGGAAGCCAAACGAUGAUCAUCAUCAUAUAUGCCCGAAUUGUCCUCGGUGCGGUUGUUCCAACACCAAGUUUUGUUACUAUAACAACUACAGUUUGACUCAGCCUAGGUACUUCUGCAAGGGCUGUAGGAGAUACUGGACUAAAGGCGGGUCCCUCAGGAAUGUCCCCGUAGGAGGCGGCUGCCGGAAGAACAGAAGAGGCUCAAGGUCGUUAAGGCUAUCCACCAACACCACCGCGGCUAAUGGGAGUAAUAAUGCUCAUAGUGGCACAACUGGGCAUAAUUCACAUGGAAUUAGUAAUUCACUGGCUCCAGAGUCUACUAGUUCUGGAGUGUCCAAUCAGGAUGCGCCACCACGUAUUGAUCUCGCAGUCGUUUAUGCAAACUUCUUGAAUCAAAAGCCAGAUUCCAAGAGUUCAGACGGAUCUGAUCAUCAGUUACCAGAGUUGCCUGGUGAAUUCGACCCGGGUUUAGAUUUUUCAAGCUGCAUAGCAAACAUGAACAUCAAUGCAGGCUCAGGAUCAAGUAUACAGUUGAUGGAAGGAAAUGGUCUAAUUGGAUCAAUAGGAUGUCAGAGUACUGUAUCUGAAAAUUGUGGAACCAUAAACGACCACAUGUACUUUGGUGGGUUAGACCCGUUAAUCGUUCAUCAUCAGAAGCAUCAAGAUCUUAGCAGUGAUCUAGUACAGUAUACAAGUAGUACUCAUGAAUCGAUUGAUUUUGGGUUGCCACCGUUGCCAGACCAAGAGGUAUUGUGGUCUAGAUCUCACGAUCAAAUGAUGGUUAGUCCUAUCAUGCAACCUACAUCUAUGGUCGGACCAGAAGCUCACGAUCCGAACCUGUUAAAUUGGAGCCCCUUAUUCGAUUUACCAUGUACUUUCUCCAGGACAUGAUCAUGUGAAGAGGAAGACUUUGUAUUAUUCUCCAUCGUAUUCUUGUUUUGAUCAUAUACCAAAAUAUAUAUAAUUACUCAUGUGUAGAGAAGAAUUUUGGAAAUUGAAAAAUAUUAGCAUGCAUGAAAUAAUCUAUAUAAAGGCUCCUCUUUUUCUUUUCUGGUUCAUAUUUAUAAAUGUAAUUUUCGUUAAAUGUAGUCUCAGCUCGUUUCAUAAUGCAAAACCCUAAUCACAUACCAAUUCAUCCCUCAACUUAGCUGACAUCCGGAAUGCGGAUCAUACAAUACUGUACUGUUAUAGAUAGAAUAGAUUAGUUUACCAUACCACUAUAAUUAUCCAAAAACCAUACCACUAUAAGUUUAUAAUUCCAAAUUGUUCACAUUGUGACUCAGUAUACAUUGUUCAGUCAAUGCAUAAUUUUGGAAGGUCGAUCUGCUGCGUCAAGCCUGGGGUUUGCAGAGGCCUCCAUUCUCUAUUGCUUACUACCUUGUCAGUUUCAGGUGCAAGAUGAGUUGCCUGUUUUUUAAAGAACAUGUUUAACUGCUUUCCUACGGUGUGUGUUAGAGUUGUUUGAACCUUUGAAUCAGUGUCGUACCAAAUUAGAAAUCUAAAAUUGAAAAUAGUUUGCUGAUAUCAGAAAUAGUCAUCCAUAGGUAACCAAGAAAAAAUCAGAAAGAACCUGCAGAAACUUCUCACAUCAGAAUUCUUUCAGUUUUCUUGGUCUUCAACGUUGUGAACUUGUGAUCGAGAGGUUGUACAAUUUGGACCGCUGUUUGAUAUCUUAAAUUCUUAACAUUAACUACUACUACGUAUUCGUUAAAGUUCAACUACUGAAUGACUUGCUGGGAGUAAGUUAGUAUCGAAAACUACCUGGCCGUUUAUAAUGCAAGAAAUCAAUUCUUGGUCAAAAUCAAGGACUGAAUAGGGUUGAUAUAGUCCAAGUGCUGUCCUCUACCAAUUUUGAAAAGAUAUAUUAUUGCUUCUCGUUGCGCCGUACGUUAUUAUUUGUCUUCUGGAUACGAGAAGGAAAAUUUUCGAAAACUAGCUAGCCCAUUCAAAUAUGAAAACCACGUACAUGAAUUGAACCCAUGCUCAGGUUUUUGAAAACUGAUCCAGCAAAACAGCUAGCUAGCUCGUUUCAAACUUCUGCAGUCUUGUUUUGUUACUUCUCAAGUUGGUGAUUGGUUAAUUGGAACUUGGAGUCCCUUAAUAAUCGAAUAAAUUGAAGAGUAGUACGUGUAGCUAUUAUUGGUGAAGGGCUUGGCUCAGCAAACUUUAGGGGAUUGCUUACCUGAAAUUGAGUGCAACUCUUGAUCCCAGAAACGCUCAUGAUCCAAGAAUAACAAACUUCCAUGCCGUUUGAUUAUAUAUCUAUACUCACUAGCUCCACAGACGUCUAGUAUGAAGUGCCUAUAAUUAUACUACAAUGUUAAUUUGACCAAAUGAAUCAUUUUUUUUUUUUUUUUUGAAUUAAUACCAAAUGAAUCAUAUCAUACUAGCUACGAGUUACAAUGUGUUACACUAUCGAUCAGGUUGUCAAUCAAUAAUUCAAAAUCAUACAAUAAUAUAUCGGAACAUAUAUAGAACUAAAAUUAAGAGAAAAUUAGAUAAAAACCCAAAAUACUAGACAUUUUUUAAGAUAAACCCAUACAUAUUUUUCUUUCAUUUUACACCUACUCCACAUAAGCAAACUUACUAUAUAGAGCAUAUGUCUAUAAUUAAUAGUUUUCUUCAUUUUUUAGUUUCUCUGAUUUGCCCUUCAGACGAUAUAAAGCUAAAUUUGGUAUCUUUCUCAAUUUUAGCAUCAAUUUAAAACUCAAAUAUUGAGCUAAAAUUUAGUUGGAUUUAACUUUAUCAUAAUCAAUUACAUUCUUUAAUUUCUUACCUUGUUAUUACUAACUUGAGUGUAUAUAUAUAUUAUAUAUAGAAGUAUGUCAUUUGUAAUAGAAUGAUUCUUUUCAUUCUUAAGCUCACAUUUGGUGUCUCUCUACAUAUAUAGUCGAAAAAUGUCUAAUUGUAAGGUACACGUUCUUGUUCUUUGAUUAAUUUUCUUCUUUUUAGUUAUAUUUUUGAUUCAUUUUCUUCUUUUUAGGUAUAUUAUUAUAUCAUUUCUCAUUCUGAUCGGGAGAACAUUUAUAUUUCUAAUGUACCUAUUAAGCAGGACAUGAUAUAAUAAUAUACCUAAAAAGAAGAAACCCAAAAUUGGGUUUAGGGUAUAGGGUUAAGGUAAUAGGGUUUAGGGUAUAGGGUUAGGGUAUAGGUUUAGAGUAUAGGGUAUAGGGUUUAGGGUUUAGGGUUUAGGAUAUAGGGUAUAGGGUUUAGGGUUUAGGGUUUAGGGUUUAGGGUUUAGGGUUUAGGGUUUAGGGUUUAGGGUAUAGGGUAUAGGGUUUAGGGCUUAGGGCUUAGGGCUUACGGUAACACUAUAAAAUUUCUUCAUUUUACUCUAAUAAUCAGAUAUCUUAUUUAUAUUAUAUUUUACCUUAUGUAUAGAUCAUAGAAUGUAUUCAUUUCACCUAGAUUUUUUCAUAAAAAUAAAGAAACCGCAUGAUUCUUGCAAAUUGAUUGAAAAAUGUUAGUGUUAAAAGAAAAACUCAUAAUCAAGGUAUUUAAAAAAACAUCAAUUAAGCUUAUUUAUUAUGUUUAUAUAUUAUAGUUGAAUGGUGGCAAUUGUGUAAAAUUUAGAAAAAAUAGGACAUAAUAUGUAUCAUAAUUAAUAUAUUUUAGAUGUCUAUCAGAAAUGAAUAUUAUGUGGGUUUUAUUUAAAACCAUUCUUCAAAAUUGGGUGUAUAUGAAAAUCCCCCUAAAAUUAAGAAAGUCUGACUGCAUCUCUAUAUUUCAUGGCUGUAUGUAUCAAGAAAAGCAAAACAAAACUUUAACUGUUAGGCUUGAACUAAUCUCAAACUUCUAGUUCUUUUGCCCCGAAAAAUUCUUAUGUAUUCUGAAUUAGUCUCAAAUUUCUAGCUCUUUUUGACUGAGCCAUUGCAAUUACAACACCAGAAGCUAGGGUGUACUGAUCAGUGACAAUCCCAGACGUCACUUGCACCGAUGAAUAAACGAUUGUUGUCACAGCCCCAAAUUAUCUAAAUUGUUACAUCCUGAUCAAGUUGUCUAAUUUCAUGUACUCAAUAGCAAUCAAUAAUUGAUGAAAAUAUCAACCAAUUUCAGGCUUCUUCCUUUCCAACACCAAAGACUUUAAUUUAUUUAUAUUCUCAAAUUCAUGAAAUGAAACAAUCAACGAUAUGGAGAAAAAACAAAAAACAAAAACAAAAAAAAAACCCUCAAUUUUUUCUUUGAAACAAAACUCCAAAUUGAGGUUACUGCGCCAUGAAUUGGAAGGCGUGGGUUAACGACAAAAUUAACGAUACUUUCCAGAUUUUAUAAUAGCUGUAUAUGUGUCACGAUAUAAAGCGGAUAAGAAAGGGCAAAUGAGCAGAUCUUCACACGAGUUUUUGAAGACGUGGUGUUAAUGUCUAGACGGAGUUUCUUUUUUUUUUCUUUUGAAAAAAUCUCAUGGCUAAAAGUUUUUUUUCGAUUAAGAUGAUCAUGGCUAAAAGUUUGACACACUAAACAUGUAAAACUAGUGACUAGAGUAGAGAAGAAGCUAAUUUAGACCUUAAUUUAGUCAUGCAAAUGUAUCAUAUGCAUGCAUAAUGCAUGUAUAGGACUUGGUACAACAGUAGACUUUAUUCUACUUAGUUUAAAGAUUUGCUAAUCUGCUGUCGAUCGUAUCAUGUUGGGUAACCGACGUGGAAAAUUAUUAAACUCGAUGGAUAUGAUUUUUCAUAACAAAGUUGCAAAUGCUGACUGGUAUUUGGUGCUGAUGAGAUGAGUGACUAUGACUUAAGUGGAUAUCAAUGACAUUCCAUGCAUACAUACAUAUAAAUACAUAUAUAUUCCUUUCCGAUGAGAGAUAACAACUCAUUAUUAGAUCUGUUUUUUUUAAUGAUUUUGGAUGACUAAGAUUAAAUAAUAAAUUCAACACUUUCUGACAAAUCUGAACAGUUCAAUUUUAAUUUAUUAAAAAUAAAUCAAAGUGUUGGACGACUUAAUGAUCACCAAAUCUUCUGAAAACUUGUGGAAGUGAUCUACUCAUAUAGAUCUACAAAUUAAAAGGUGGAGAUGUGAUUUUGUAAUCAGAAAGUUCGUCAAAUACCCUAUCCCUAGCCUAGAAAUAGAACAAAAAAAAGGAAUCCCUCAUUAGAAGGGCCCUGAUAUAUAUAUAUAUAUAUAGACACACACACGGAGCCGUUCAGAAAAAGACGUCUGCACAGCCCUUAAAGUGCGGACGUCUCUGAUUUCUCCACCUUCAGGCGUUGACGACACCGUUUCUUCUUGUCGGACGGACAGCAAACCUUGAUACUAAGCUUCCUCUUCUCGGUGGACUCGCCGGCUACAAGUUUGCAGCCAACCUUGAUCGGUCUUGAAGUUUUCAGUGAGGUUGUUGCCCAGAGCUCUGAUCCUGAUCUCCUUGACCUUCUUCUUCAUGUCAACGCCGUCCCGGAAGCCUCUAGUGUUCAUCUGACAAGAGAAGCGCCGUCGUCGACGCUUGAAGGUGGAGAAAUCAGAGACGUCCGCACUUUAAGGGCUGUGCGGAAGUCCGCCUCUGACGGGCCUGUAUAUAUAUAUAUAUAUAUGUAUAUAUAUAUAACGGGACACUGCUUUGAAAUUAAAGUGUGAUGCUCCUCAUUUUGCUCAUUUUUAGGCCUAAUUUUCACAUCUCCACUGUUCAGUAUCUAGAACAUAGUGUGUAAAUUAUUUCUUGCAAAGUUUCAUCUAAUUUGGAAAUCAUUUGAGCUUCCGUAAUAUAUGUUAUAGAGAUUUUCGCAGGUAAGGAUAUCCUUAUUUAGUCUUACGGUGCGGAUUUCCACUUUAGACUCACUUUUCAAUUGAAUUUUCACAUCUCCACCAUCUAAUCUUUAUAUUUUAAUGUGUAGAUCAUUUAUACAAAUUUUCAGCUAAUUUGAUAAUCAUUAAGGUCUUCAAAAUUGUGUUUUUCUGUUAUAAACAUGAAUGGUUCAAGUUUGACAAAAUUCAGUUCAUUAAUUGGUUUAAUCAAGUUUGAGUGCCUUAAAGAUUAUCAAAUUAGUUGAAAACUUACAUAGAUGAUCUACAUGUUUAGUACCUAAAAAAUAGACGGUGGAGAUAUGAAAAUUCGAUUGAAAAAUAAACGUAAAAUGAAAAUCUGCACCAUAAAAAUAAAUAAGGACCUCCUUAGUCGAGAAAGUUUGAUAUAUAUGUAUAGUUGGUCUAAAUUUAUAAGUUCGUAUAAUAUUCGAACUAAUAUCACGUAGAUAUAUUGUCGGAUUUCACGACUCGGGAUGGCAUUGACGGUGGUAUACGCCUAGCUAGCAUGUGUUGCAUUACUAGUUAUUUGCAAGCUGUGUCUUGCGCGCACGUCCGGGGGAGCUUCCUUUUGUCAACUACUACACAUCCCAUUCCAGUGCCGACUACAUUUAUUUUAUUUACGGGACAAUAUUGCUCUUUUUUUUUGGUUAUACAGAAGGGACUUAAAAGGCCCAAACAAAGAGGAAAAACAAAACAGCAAAACUACAAGCUAGAGGCUGGAACAAUAUUGCUCUUUUAGACGCCGUUUGUGCAUAAUAUGUGAUUUAUAUGAUAAAUAUAGCUCGCUCUUUCAAUAGUGUCACUUGUUCUUACAAGCAAUUAAGUUUCCACCGAAAAAGCGGUAAUCUUAUACAUACGUGGUAGUUUGAGGUAUGUAAAUUUGUUGAUUUACGUACAUAUGUACCUGGUGACUUAUUCCUACUAGUCGUAGUUUGGACAAUUCUGUUGGCGACAGUAUCUUGCGGAAGAUUGAUCUAGCUACAUGUCUACUUCACCAACAUGCGUUAUAAGUCAAAAGACUCAAAAUGCAUGCUAAUCUGUUUCCAUGAAUUAGGGAAGUAAGAGUAUAUAUAUGGUCUCUAUUCAUUCUAAAGAGAAGUGUAACUACGUUGUAUACAUCUCUUUGCAUAUUCGUAGGGUCACCGGAUUAUUCGAUGAGGAAUCAUGAAAUAUAUAAAACAGUCCAAUAACAUCAAAGAAGAUAAGGAAUUCUUUUAUGCACGACGUGUAAAUACACGGUGUAAUAUUUGUUAUUCAUAACAAUUCGUAUGCUUGACCACCAUGUUUCUUAUAUAAUCUUGAUCAUUCAUAUAUAUAUAUGAAUAUACUUUGUCAUGUACCGAAGAUGUUCUCGAAGAAAAUAAGCAACUUUUCCAUCACAUCUGAUUUCUUGAAAACGGGAAAGGGAGGACAUGCGCCACUCAAGAGCGGAUUAGGGGGGAUACGUAGACGCAACUAUUUCAAGCCGAAUGUUUGUUGUGAAUACUGAAUAGUACGUGAAAGAUUUAUUCAGCUCUCUAUUCACAUGCAUGUUUGUAUAGCUAUAUUUGUGUAAGGAAAAUGCGGACUUGUAGUUAGGAAAAUGCUUGGUUUUCCAUGAGUUUCCGUAUAGGAAAUUAGGAAUUACCUGAUGAAUCAAGUUUUCAGAAAGCCAUGCAUGAACUAGUGUUACAUUUUAUAUGUUUCGCAAGAUUAUAGAAAGGAACGUCUUGUAAACACUAUUUAACAUUUUUGAUUAAUUUACGGUGUGAAACAAGGGAUUUUUGAUUAAUUUAUGGUGUGAAACAAGGGAUUAGAUUCACGUACGUGUCCCAUACAUAGCUAGCAAAGUCUCAGGUGAAUAAAAUUCUUACGUUUACAAGUAAUCCCGUGCAUUAUCAUGAAAAUUAUAAUAAUCAGUUUGGGCGGUCGCUUAGUUAAAUAGUUAUAUCUUGAGCUGUACUUUUCUUUGCUAAGAAGGAAGUUAAUCGUAAAAUAUAAAACUUAGCAAUCCCAGUUCUAAAUCCAUAACAAUAGUAAAAACUACAGGAAUGUAAAACCUAAAUUAUUAUUCGGUCCACAAAGAUGGGCAUCUGAAUUGUAUAAUGCACUUUGUAGACUCUUUUUUAAUAUUUCUGGCCUCCGCUGGCUGCUGGCUAGUUGAACCAAAGAAAGUCCACAUUGCUAGCUAGCGCUAUAGAUCGCGAGAAGCAGCACAUCGGUCGAUCUCCUAACUAACCAUGCUACCUAGUUCCUUCCUUUCUAGCAACUGCCGGUGCAAUUUGGACCAUUUCUCACCAAUAUCAACUUGCAAGAACAACAUCAAGGCUAGCUACCCAGAACUUAAUUCCAAACAACUUGCAUGAAAUAUAUGGCUUUUCAUUUAUGAUCCAUCACAUUCACUUCCCUGCCAGAAAUUUCCAGAUUUUGAAGUCCCAUGAUUUUGUUUUUCCCAAAAAAAAGGAAACAUAUCCGUUGGAACUGCAUACUUUAAAUUUAUAUUAAGAAGCGUAUAGGGCAACCAAGAUUCACAAUGUCAAAAAACAAGUUGGAACUGCAUACUUUAAAUUUUCCGACCUUCAUUACAAUCUGACAACAAUAUAUAUGCUAGCUUUGAACCAAUUAUCAACCUUUAGGCGAUACAUGAUUUACUUAAUAUGUGUGAUUUGUAUUUGAUUGCAUGAAUUCGAAGAUACAUGUUUGAUUGCAUAAAUUCGAAGAUUAUGAUUAAGAAUGUAAGAAAAAUAUGUUGAUAAAGAAGGGUAAGUGGCAUGUCAUUGGAAACACACUUGUGGAUCUAUAAUUCGUGAUCAUUAAUUUUGUAUAAUCGUAUAAUCAAUCAAUUAUAUAUGUACACAAAAAGUGAAGAUUGAAGUUGCUAAAAUGAGAAACUAAUUAGGGUCUUAAUUUCUUGUUUGAAAAUCUCAAGAAGGAUAAGAAGAAAUCAAAUUGUUUGGUAUACAGGUGGAGCUCUUCCAUGUCCUUGCAUGCAUUUUCAAGAUCUCUAGAGCCUUUUCCUUGGUCUUGCUCCCACUGUCCACUUGAAGCACCAAGCAAAGCUUUGCCACUACACCCAGCUGCAACAUUUCUUGCAAGACGCUACUCGUCGCCGAGAACUUGCAAAUCGAGAACAGAAUCCUCACCGCCCUCUCGCUCGCUACCUUCGAGAUCCUCAUUAUCUUCUUCGAAACCACUGCAAGACCAGCACCAUGCUUGAGGAGCUCGGCCCGCCCCUCGGCCGAGCUACAAGCCAUGUCGAGCACCAUCAUUGCCAUCUCGUGAGUCCUUCUGUCUGGUGAAGCAUCCAGAAGGAGCUCGAUCAAGACAUUAACGGCUCCGGCUUCCACGGCCUUGAUUCGGUUUCUUCCCCAAGGACAGACUUUGAUCAACAGUUGCAAUGUGGCUUUUGAGGCCUGCGUGGAAAUCUGAUCUUUCAAGACCUGAACUACUUCGCAGAAGAACUCAGGUCUCAAGUUGAUCAUCUUCAUUGUAUCGGCGACUUCAAACAUCGAUCUCAGCAUCAUCACGGCGUAAGCUCUCGACUCGUAAGUGCCUCUUUGGAUGAGCUUUACCAACGACUCGAUGAGCUCGCUUUCUUUGCCUAGAAGACUCUGGAGUGCGGAUUCCGAGACUUGAAGAUUGUAGAGGACGCUCAGUGCUUCUACCUGCUGUUCAGUAUCUCCUUUAAGGAGUACCGAAGCCAAAAACUCAACCGCGCCGACGGAUUCCAUGGAUCUUUUGUUGGCCUCGCUCUCGGAGGCGAUGGAUCUAAGCCUGCGGAGGCAUUUUGUGACGGACUGUGGCGACCUGGCUGCGUCGUUUAACAGCUUGGAGAUUUGAGCUUUGCUGACGGGAGGCUUUGGAGUUGGGAUCCUCUCGACGCCGUGAGAAGCGUUGAGUGUGCACCAAGCUUGGAGCAACCGCCGGAGAGUGUGGUUGGGGGUCAAGUCGGGGUCGGAAACUACUUGUUUGGUUACGGGGCAGGUGUUGUUCUUGCUGGAGAAAAGCCACUUCUCGAUGCUCUCCCUGUCGUAGGUUAUCCCCGUCGAGAUAGUCACCGGGUCUUUCAUGAUUUGCAGAGAGAUUGGGCAGAUGAAGAACGAUGGAACGUCGAUUUCUUCCAUUAAUUUGGUCGAUGAGAGAAGCUAAUAGAGAAAGGGUCUGCUGUUGUUGUACGUUGCUGAAGGUGUUGGUUAACGUUGGUUGAAGAAGGAUGAAGUUGUGAAUGGGGUUGAAGAAGUUAUAUAUAGGUGAGCUGAAGACUGGGAUUCUUCAAAUAUACGAAAGUCAAAACACGGGAAAUACGAGAGCGUUGAGAAGAGAGUAGAAGGGGAGGAAGACUUUUCUAAGGUGGUAUUUGAAAGGCUCAAGAUGGAUGAACUUUACCAGGUCAUUAUUAUUAUUAUUUUUUUUUCAUAAUUAAGAUGGGAUUGCAAUCGCAACCCUUUUGACUUUCUCAAUUCUGGGUUUCUCUCUCUAACUCGUGCCUUUUACAUUCUCAAUGCCGACAAACUGUAAUGGGGGUGUGGGGGCAAAGCUGUGCUUCUUUGCACAAUCUUGGCUGCUGCUGCUCUCACUCCUCUAGGGUUUACUUGGAAUUAAAAUUGACCAACACAGAGUUUAAUUUUGGCACAUGGAAGAAAAUUUGGACCGCCUGAUACAUAUGUGAUCUGGGUGAUGAAAGACAUGUGCGUUUGUCCUAGUCAAUCUCUGAAGGUAUAUAUACGUAUGUAAGUUUAUAUAUCUGUACGUACGUAGAAAACGACUCGAAGUAUAUAUUGAUUCAUUGUUUUUUAUCAAAUAAGUAAAGGGAGGGUGGUGAAUACUUCAUACUUGGGGGUCUGAUGCCAUGGAUCAUUAUGCACAAUCAUUUGCGUUCAUUGCUGGAAAUGGUAAAAGCUCCAAAGUAGUAGGUAAAUAAUAUUUAAUCGAAAAAAGUUGAUAGGUAAAUAAUAACGGCUAGGAAUUAUCUAACUAGAAGUAGUUAACGGGAAAAAAACCAGAGGGAAAGUGGAAUUCUUCUUCGCCGCAAGCUUUUCAAUAACGAUAAUACAAUAGAACUUCAAACUUUAAUUUGUUGAAUGAGCAUCACUCUACAAAACUACAAAAGAAAAAUAAAAGUUGUUGGCCCUGUAUAAGUCGCAUAAGAAUAUAUAUAUAUAUAUAUAUAUAUAUAUAUAUAUAUAUAUAUAUAUACUACCUNNNNNNNNNNNNNNNNNNNNGCUUAUGUCAAACUAAAACCGUUGAAGGCCAUUAAAACUAAAUUGAACUUUUGAAAGCCUUAACGAUCACCAAAUCAUAUGAAAUUUUGUAGAGGUGAUCUACUUAUAUAGACCUAAGAUAUGAACGGUGGAGAUGUAAAAUUAUAAUCAGGAAGUUGGUGUAAUGCCAUAUCCCUAUAAAUAGCUUAAAAUAGGGAUCCCUCAUUGGAAGGGCCCUGAUAUAUAUAUAUAGAUAUAUAUAUAUAUAUAUAUAUAUAUCUAUAUAUAUAUAUAACGCAUUAUGAAACGCAAAUGCGUGUGCAUGUUCACUCUAAAUCUAUUAUUACGUGCUAGCUAAUUAUCAUUAUUAGUUUAUUAUCAUGUAACAAAGUUGAUUAAUUUCUUUAUCAAAAAACAAAAAAAUAAAAAAAUUAGGAUACAUAAAAAUUUAGACCAAAUAUUUGUGAGCAUGCAUGCACGUACGCGUUGAUCUUAAUUAAAAUUUUCGUAAUUUGAUGACUAAAACCAAGUUAAUUACAUCUUCAGCUACGUAGAAGCUCGUACAGUUAAGAUAAUAACGGGGAACAAUAUUACAUGGGAAUUAUGGGACAGUAGAUUAAUUAAUAGCAACUAGGUUUUGAAGGCAAUUAACUUGAACACCUCAGUUGAUUUUGUCAUCGUACAGUUCAAUUAAACAUUGCAAACAAUGCUAAAACGUAGAACAAUGUCUAUUAAACCAAAACGAAAAAAAAAACUAGGUCAACUUCAUGUUUAUUAUUUUAAUGUAAAGGUCAGGAUAUAUAGAUACUAGCUAGUUCAUAAUAUUUGUUCACAUUUCUCACAAUAGUGAAAAUGAUAGUAACAUUUGUAAUCACAACUAUCAUGGCCUUUCUUGUACUCCAACAGCUUCUCUAAAAUUUCUCCAAAAUAUACUUGGAUAUUGUAAUAUGUACUGGGAAAGCAAAAGUCAAAAUCUCUAAAAAAAAAUUUGCUCUAACUCCAACAGCUUCCCUAUUUUAGAGAUUUUGACAUUUAUUACUAUAAUUAAAUAUUCUACAUCAUUUUUAAUUAUAACAAAAUUAAAAGUCAUAUACCUUAUUAUAACAAUAAAAUACUCAAUAAUAUAUUUUAUAUUUUAUACUUCUUAUUGGAGUAUGUGAGGAUCUAAUUAUGACAAUGUUAAUUUCGAUAAUUUGGAGAAGGAAGGCUUUGCUGCAAAUUUGGGGAAUGAGUGAUUCUCUUUCUUCUCUAUCCUCAUUUUGGGGAAUGAGAUGAGGAAGCUGUUAGACCUAAAAAUAGCUCUAUAUUUAAAAUUGAUAAGUCUAAGAAAAUGAAGAAGCUGUUGGAGAUGCUCUAAGUUUGGAAAAUGAAUUUUGUUAUCGAUGCAGAGUAUGAGAAUUUUGGAUCAUUAAUUUUUCAUGAUUUAAUAAUGAGUUUAAGGCAGAAUUAGUUUCCUCGUCUUUCUUUCACGGAGAAUUCUCUCGCAUCUUCACGAAUGACUUAAAAAUAGGUGGAUCAAUUGAAACACAAUAUUAAACACUCGGAUAUAAAACCUUGAUAUGUACUGUUUUAUGUAAGAAAGAAUAUAUGCGUACUGAAAUUGAAUAUUUUAGACUUUGGCUUGUAUAUAUUGUCUUCACAAAGUAUACUUGUAUCUUUAAUUAACAGAUCGAUUUGAAUCUAAUCACAAGAGGAAGCUUCAAAUUGAGUGAUGAAAUGCAUGACGCAAGAGCCUUCGUUAUGCAUAUGCAUGCAUGCUUCAAAUUAAGUCUUAUCUGCUCCUCCAUGCCCUAAUGGAGUGGUUGUGUAUUGGAUGGGCAAUGAUGACUUGACUUGCCUCUUCGAGGUCAGCCACGGCAUAUUUUGCUCGCGUGCCCUAAUUAAUUCCCACCCAGUAAGCCGCUAUGCUUAAGUAGUACUACAGCAACUGGAGCUGAUCGACCUGCUAGGUAACGCCCACAGGAAUAAGAGCUCGAGUGGUCAAGGCUGGAUAGUAAUACGUAGUUGCAAACGUGUGCACGAAGCGUCGACGAGUGGUCCGCCACCGCCAGCCACACCAGCGCCGGUUUGUUCUUAUCCAUCGAUCAACAAGCUAGCUAGCUUUAAAAUUUGAUUUUGAUUAUUCUUUUUUUGAGAAGGAUUUUGAUUAUUCUUGUUGAGGCUGGCCGGGCUGAGAGUGAGACAUAUGGAGAGGUGGACGUGCAUGUUUCAGCUUAAUUUCAUCCCCAAUCCUACUCCUGUGUGGACCUGCAUGCUUCUUGCCUCUCUCAACUUGCACACUUGCUGUUCUUGAAGCUGAAUAUAUAUCCAACUAAGCUAGGUUUAAUUUUGAAAUUAUUAAAAACUUGACGGACAUUUCAGUUUUUUGUAUUUUUUUAUUGUUUUUUAUCAGAUAAAUAACUAAUAUGCUACAACGAGUCUAUUAUGUGUCGAACUCACGACUUCUCAUUUAUAUAGAGAGACUUAUGAUGCUAGACCAAACGGUAAUGAAAAUGUAUUUCUGUAUUAAUAUAUAUUGAUAUUUAAAAUGUUCAUUCACAUUGUAUUUGAACGGAUAACCUCUACGUACGGUAUAAGACCACGACUCAAAACUGAAAUUAUGAAGUAUCAAAACUCUUUUUGAAAUUGAAGUAAUUAACAAGUUAAGCUUGAGAGAAUUUGUGUUUAACAAAAUGUCAACCAUUUAACCAGUUGCCACAUGUACGUCGUGAUCAGCCAGUUGUACCUGGGAUUCAAUCAUAUAUAUUUUCAAUGGUUUUGAUUUCAGUCAGACUAAGAGUAGUACGUAGAUCACAUCACAGGUGACUUUGAAGCUUCAACAUAAUCAUCACCGACUGUGGAAAAUCUGCUUUUUUUGUUUCUUUUAAUCUUUAACCAAAGCAAAUUUUGUGAUGUCUUUAGUUUCAAUAAUUCUAUACGAUCGUCCAACUGAAAAUUUGUCCGUUCGUUCUAAACCUCAUUAUCAGAUUGUUAUGAUGGGGUUCUGAUGCGUCUCUAUGUAAAACAAUGAGCUGUUUGAUCAUUGCCAUAAAAAGCAUUUUAUCAAAUCAAAUUAUGGAAGAAAUAAAAGACAAAUUUAAAACAUUUUUAACUACAUCUCGGAGAAUGCUCCUUGUAAGAGGUACAUUAAGGCGAUAGUGAAGGUUUUUUUUUUUUGAGAAUGUAGGCGAUAGUGAAGGUUAGAGUUUGAUAUAUAAUGUUCCGAUCCAAUCCUUACUCUAGGGUAUGAUUAUGAUCACAGUACGUCCUGCAUACAAGAAUAGAAUUGCACUACAGGUACAAGUACCUAAAACUUGCGAAAGAUUGUAGAGAUUUUUUUAAGCAUUUUUUACAAAGUACCUAAAACUUGCGAAAGAUUGUUGAGAAUUUUAAGCAAUCUUUUUGAAAUAGAAUUAAGUUUAAACAUAUACUACAUGCUGAGAUGUGUACGUAUCUCUUGGCUUGUGGAGUUGUGGAUGCUCUGCAUGUGAGCUUGGAUAACAGUUCAUAUUAGAAGGUUAGAUACAGUUUAACAACGGUUGACAGGCAGAUAGUGAUCAAAGCAAAAAGAAUCUGAACCUUUAACUAGCCCAAUUUAAUGUAAUCAUCAAACAAAAUAUGGGCUGAAUUAGCAUCGAUCAAUGGAAGAUUUAGUCGACAUGGCAAAACUUGAACAAUAUAUGACAUUCAAAAAGAAUAAUAUUGAACAUUAGCUAACAGUACAGUAAAUUUUUGUAUGAUUCAAUUAGCAGUAGCUAUAAACGUACAUUACUAAUUAAGAUUCUUGGGUAUACGUACAGAAAAAAAUCUUUUGUGUGUAUGUAUGAUAUAUAUACAGGUAAAUUUCAGAAAAAAAAAAGAAGAAAAAGAUAUAAAGGUAAAGUAUUGUAGAAUUUUCCCAGAAUCUUUAUAUGAAUUGACAAGAUUGACUGUUUCGAUUCAGCAUAAUCUAUGUAUGCUCGUCUUGGGGCAAACUCAAGCCUUUCCAAUGAAGUAGAUAAGCUACACACGUCCAACGAACCAAAAUAUUUCGUGAACAAUUCAACUUGGAUAAGCUUAAUUUGGAACUAUAUUAAUAGGCCAUGAGAGUACCUGACCUCGAUCAUUUCCCAAGUACAUCAUUUAACACAACAAUGUCAGUUCAGAUUGAAAAAUAAGGAGAAUACAUCGGCGGCAGAGAGAUGUCUUCAUUCUUCCGUCAAUCUAAAUGCAACAUUUUCUGAGUUUCAUAUUCAACUUCGACUAAGAACUGAAAGGAUUUCAGGUCCACAUACAUGCAUGAAAGCUGGGGGUGCUUUUGCAGUAACCCUAAUCCUAUAGUGGGGUUUUCGUUAGCGAAGAAAACAUGUUGUAGUGGGUUUUCAUCCAUUUAGACAGUUCUAGUUCCACCUUGAUUUGGCUCACGUGUCGUAAACCUAAAAGCAACGUCCUAAAAGCAACGUUAAUAAUGUUGGUGUGUGUGUAUAUAUACACACACAAUGCUAUCAGGUGUGGACGUCCGCACCAAAGUUUUGGUGCGGAUUUUCAUUUUUGCACCACUUACCGAUCGAAUUUUCUCAAACUUCCUUCUAGACAUAUCUAGAUUAUCUUGUGUAGAUCAUCUCUGCAAAAUUUCAGCCAAUUUGGUGAUCGUUAAGGCCCUCAAACUCGAAAAACAAAUGGACGGACUGAAUUCUGUCCGGUUGUGUUCAUACCAGAAAAACUCGAGUUUGAGGAUAUUGUCCACAUAAUGUGAUUGACUUAAUACAAGUCCAUUGGAUGUUCUUGUGAUUUUAAUCCCCAAUAUGACAUCAGCAUGACCCAUAUCUUUCAUGUAAAAUACGGAAUUUAACACAUCCUUAGUCGAUUUGAUCAUCUUUUCAUUGCUUCCAACGAUAAGCAUGCCAUCAACAUACAAACAUAUGAUGACAUAUCCAUUUUCUGUGUCUUUGACAUACACACAUUUAUCACAUUCAUUGAUCUUGAAUCCACUUGUGAUCAUAGCGUUGUCAAAUUUCUCAUGCCACUACUUUGGUGCUUGUUUUAAGCCAUACAAUGACUUUACCAAUUUGCACACUUUCCUUUCUUGACCAGGAGCGGAGAAACCCUCAGGUUGCUCCAUAUAAAUUUUCUCUUCAACUUCUCCAUUAAGGAAAGCGGUCUUCACAUCCAUUUGAUGUAUUUCAAGAUUCUGCAAUGCGGCGAUUGCAAGUACCAUUCUGAUAGAUGUUAUUCUUGUCACAGGAGAAUAAGUGUCAAAAUAGUCCAGACCUUCUUUUUGCUUAUAACCUUUAAUCACAAACCUUGCCUUGUACUUGUCUAUUGACCCAUCAGCUUUCAAUUUCCUUUUGAAAAUCCACUUGGAGCUUAAAGAUUUACAACCUGGUGGAAGAUCCACCAGUUCCCAAGUGUGAUUUUGCAAAAUGGAGUCAAUUUCACUCUUGAUAGUUUCUUUCCACAAAGGACGAUCAGUAGAGUUCACCACCUCUUUACGAGGUUCACCUUCAAGCAUAUAUGUCAAAAUAUCUAACCCAAAGGAUUUUUUUUUUGUCCUUGCUCUCUUCCUUCGUCUAGGUUCAACCUCAGACUCAGUUUCUUGAUGACAUUAGCAGCCUGGCUAGUUCCAAUACUAGCCUCACGUGUCCGUUUCGAAGAACUUGAUUAUUCUCUAGACUUACAUGGAAACACAUUUUUGAAAAAUGAUACAUUUCUCGAUUCCAUUAUUGUGUCCUUAUGUAUAUCAGAGAUUUCUAAUUUGUGCACAAGGAAACGAUAAACCGUACUAUUAUGUGCAUAUUCAAUGAAAAUGCAAUCAACUGUUUUAGGCCCAUUUUUCACCUUUUUAGGUUUAAGGACUGUCACCUUAGCCAAACAUCCUCAUACUCGCAAGUAAUCAUAGGAUGGCUUUCUUCCUUUCCAUAGUUCAUAUGGAGUUAUCUCUUCUUUCUUUUUAGGAACCUUAUUUAAAAGGUAAUUAGCCGAUAAAAUGGCGUCUCCCCACAUGUUGGGUGGCAACCCAGAACUUAGUAGCAUUGCAUUCAUCAUUUCAAUCAAAAUACGGUUCUUUCGUUUAGCAACGCUGUUGGACUAUGGCGAGUAAGGUGUGGUUCUCUUGUGAAUAAUCCCAUGUUGAGCACAAAAUUUAUCAAAUGGCAAUUCAUACUCACUUCCUCGAUCACUUCUUAAUACUUUGAUUUUCUUAUCGAGUUGAUUUUCGACCUCACUCUUAUAGAGAACAAAUUUCUCUAUUGCCUCAUCUUUGCUCUUCAGCAAAUACACAUAGCAGUAUUUCAUGAUGUCAUCGAUAAAGGUAAUAAAAUAUCUGUUACCAUCUCGAGACUGUGUUGAUUUUAAAUCACAUAUAUUGUUAUGGAUUAAAUCAAGGGGUUCAUUGUUUCUUUCAACGGUCUUGAAAGAUGAUCUCGUUAGUUUUGCCUCAACACAAGUUUCAUACUUAUAUUUCGCAUCAAUUUGGAAUGUUGGUAAGUGUUCCAUGUUAAUUAGCCUUCGUAAAGUGCCAUAAUUAACAUGUCCUAGUCUACCAUGUCAUAAAUUAGAAGACUCAAGCAUAUAAGUGGAAGUGCUAGCUUCAUUCAUAUUUUUGACAAUUGUCAUUACAUUUAGUUUGAACAUUCCAUCACUCAUAUAGUCAUAUAACCCUUACCCACAUACAUUCCACUCUUGGACAAAACAACCUUGUCAGACUCUAUCACUAUUCGAAAACCAUGAGUGUUCAGCAGUGCACCAAAGAUAAGGUUCUUGCGGAUAUCAGGAACAUACAAAACGUUGUUCAAAGUUAGUUCCUUCUCAGAGGUCAUCUUCAGAACCACAUUGCCCUUGCCCUCAGUGACAGAUGUGGUUGAGUUUCCCCAUCAGUGGUAGGCUCAAAUUUGGAGAACAUCUUCUUAUCAGCACAGACAUGGCGAGUAGCUCCAAUGUUGAGCCACCACUCCUUUGGGUUUGAGCCCACCAUGUUCACCUCUGAGACCACAGCAGAGAGGUUAAUGUCAGAGACAUCUCUUGUGACAUCUUCAAUCAUGUAGGCUUCCUUGCUCUUCUUCUUCUUUGGCUUGUUGCAGUCAACUUUGUGACCAGUCUUGUCACAAUUGAAGCACUUGCCUUCAAACCUUGCCUUCUUGGCAAUGCCUCCUCUUGUUCCUAGCUUGGACCCUUGAUUUUUGAACUUUUUGGUCUUGGAGCUUUGACCAUGUUCCACAACAUUUGCCUUGGUGGAGUAGCCACUGACCCAUGCCUUCUUUUCAGAUCCUCGGUUGUCUAAAGAUUGUAAGAACAAGGUUAGAUAUUGCAAAUAUAUAUUCAUAUAAAUCCAAUUUAUAAUUAAAAUAAAUAAUUAUAAUUGUAAAAUCAAGAACACAAGAUGAACAUGAAGAACAUCAAUGUUACUAACUCGGCUAUAAGAGGAGAGAAAAAAGUUGAAGUCAAGUCGUGUGUCUCACACACUUUCCUUAAGACAAAUUAUGCCUCCUCUAUCGGUGCAAAAGGCCUGAUGACACUUGUCUCCUAGGAUACAACGGCCGCUCAUGUUUUUGGAGCUGCACUGCUACCAAGAACACCCGACGAACUUGUUGUACCUUCUUUCUAUCACCAGAAAGCUAAAACUAGAGAAAGAGAGAGAACUCAAGAGAGGAGGAGAAGAUUUUGAGUUGGUGUAUAUAGAAUGAGGGAAGAGGUCACCUAUUUAUUCAUGAGGAAACCUUAGAAUCACUUGAAUGUCAUGAAUAUGAAUUCAUGAGUUACAACCCUUUCACCUUUGGUGUAGUUAAAACCUUGUAAUGUUACAACCUUUCAUAACACCACAACCAUUCCAUUUAACAUCCACUACCAUUCCAUUUAACAUCUUAUGAUGCUAUAGAAUCCAAACAACCAUGGAAGGUGAAAAGUAUAAAACUGUUUCAAGUAUUCAACUUUGGGUGACUAUUCUCAUUCACACCCUAUAACCCACUUAAAUUAUCCAAUUUAAAAUGGUUAAAUAAAAUAGUGAUUUUCACCAUUUUUUCCAAUACGACACGUAGGCCAAACUCAGACCAACAGCAUCCGGUCUAUACACACUAACUACAUGACAUAUUAUAGGACCAACGAACAGCUAGCCCUAACACCUUCAAAAACCCAUCAACAAUGCCGCCAUGAUGGUGUACGUGCCGUCGCACAAGAUCUGACAACAUAUGGAGAAGGCCAAGCGCGUUAGGGUUUUUGUGGAGGGAGAGGUUUUCUUUCUUGUUUUAUUGAAUUACCGAUUCAUUUUUUUAUUGGAUAAAUAACUACAAUACAAGUGUAUCGUGAGUCGUACUUACAACUUCUCACUUAUAAAGAGGGGACUAUGCCACUAGACCAAUCGGGUAAUCGGUAAUGGACAGUUACCGAUUCAUCUUAAACAUCCUUAAUAAUUGAAUAAAAUGAUCUUUAAUUUCAAAAUCAAAAUAAUUAUAGGGUGAACUAAGGAAAAUAAGAUGAUAAGAAGAUAAUAACCGCAUUCAACGUGAAUUAAUGGUUAAAAGUUAAAACGAUUUCUCAAAUUCUAGAUGAAGAAUGUUUCAUAAGCCAAUAAUAAAAUAUUAAGUCUACUGUUGUCCAUAUAUAUUCUUCGUAGGGCAAUCCCAGAAGUACUAAACAAUAAUAUGGGGUGGAUUUAAUUAUUGCCUUUAAUAUUAUUGACCAAAAAAAAUUAUUGCCUUUAAUAUUAAGCAAAAGUCGUAGACCGGUACCCGUUUGUUACAAUCACGUAUUAUUGCCAGAAGUGUGCUCAUUCUGAUUCUUUCAUACAUUCAAUUUGUAUUGUCUAACAAAAUUCGUUUAGUUAAUAUGAUAAACAGUUUAAAUAAAUAGAUACAAAGAUCAUAUAUCUAUCAAUACAUGUAUUAACGAUUAAUGUGAUACAAGAAAAUUAUGUUCAAUCACUUAAAUUAGAACUAUAUGAAUGCAUAUAUUUGUCAUACUUGCAUAUAAGUCUAAUAGUAUUUGAACAUAAUUUGCUUCAUCACUUAUUGACUAGAUGAAUAAAUACCACGCUCUAUAUAUGUCAUCAAUAUAUAUCAUGACCUGUGACAGAGCUCCGAGGAAAACAAGGUGAGUUCUUCCACUCACCAGAAUGUGAACUAAGAAUUUCCCUUGCUUUUUCUUUCAAAUAUGGAGCACAGUCGACUUGGAUCAACAUUAUAAGCUUCUUCACAGCUCCAAACUCCAACAUUUCCUGAAGCACCAUCUUAUUUCCAGAGUACUUGCUUAUCAAGUAAAGGAUCAGAACAGCUCGAUCGUCGGCCGCCUGCGAACCCUUCAAGAUCCUAUCGGACACUACUAAUAUGCUUGCUUUAUGACCAAGAAACUGAGCUCUCCCUUCCGCACAAGAACACAAAUGGAAUAGUAUCCCCAAAACGAGCUCAGUAGUUUUCUUUUCGUGAACUGCACCACCUAAUUCGAGCUCAACGAGCUCAUAAACUGCGCCGGAUUCAACCAAUUUGAUUCGAUUGCUUCCGCAGCGGCAAGUGUCUAGCAUCACUUGUAGAGCCGCAUUAAUGCCUUGUUGCGUGACGGCACCAUUUCUCAAAACCCCUAAAAUGUUCCUGAAAAAUUCAGGGUUGAGAGUUUCUAGCACGCUUGAACUCACCUUCUGAAUCAUGGACUUGAGCACCAACAUGACGUGCGUGUUCACCGCGAUUUGGUUCUCCAUCUCGCGGCUCAAAACCCACGUCAACGAGUCCAUAAUGUGAUUGUUCUCUAACAAAAGAUGAUUUAAUUCAUCGGGUGGAAUCCGAACAAAGUGAAGCACGCUGAGAGCUUCUUCCAGACCAUCAACCCUACCAUUUUUAUAACAUGUUACGAUGAAUAACAGCAUUGUUUUUGCCACACCGGCUUCCGCCAUGUAUUUUAGGUUACCUUCGUUUUCGGUAGCAAGCAGCUCCAGUUUUCGAACGAUUUUCAGCUGGAACUGCGGGUCUGGAAAGUCCUUGAGCAGCUUCACGACUUGAGCUUUGCUGAGAGGUGGUUUCGGAGUCGGAAUUCGAUUCACGCCUUUAGAGGCAUUGUCUGUGCACCACGCCUGGAUCAAACGGCGUAACGUGUGAUUAGGAGUUAACUCGGAGUCUUUGGGAAGACGCUGUUUGGUUACAGGGCAGGUGGUGUUCUUGGCGUGGAAUAGCCAGUGCUCGAUGCUGUCUCGGUCGUAUGUGAUGCCUGUAAUGGCUGUUACAGGGUCUGUCAUGAUCUGAAGGGAAAUAGGGCAUACGAAAUACUGAGGAACAUCAAUAUCUUCAGCCAUGAAUGUGCAGAUCAGAAGGAAGUUGAGAGAGUGAAGGAGGAAGAAGUACCCUUUGGGUGGUUGAGGUGGUAAGUCAGGUAAGAGGAUGCGGCUGAUAUAAUGACCAAAGAGAGUGGACUGGUCAUGAUAUAAUUGGUGAUGGUAAUACUAAUCUAUUCAAAGGCAGGUUGGGCGGUCAAACGAGAAAAGUUGUGGGCAAUGAUCAAAGUAAUGAAAUGAACACGGAAUGAGUAGCAUAGAGCAGAAUUUGGAUUUGGGACCCUUUUGAAGCCCUUUUUAAAUCUGAGUCAAAUGUAUACAUGAGCAUCUCGGUAAUGUUAACCAGAAACCAAACAGUACUCAUCUGAUCGACAUCAUUUUUCUUCUUUUAAAUUCAUUUGGUAUCUCUUCGUAAAUUUAAUUGCAAAGCUUAUUUCUCCAUUUGUAAGAUUCAAAUUUACUUCUCAUGUAAGAAUAAAAAUCAAAUCAUAAAUUUUACAAAAUUUGACCAGCUCGAUAUUGAUUGACCGCCUUUAUUGAGUUGUUGAGUAAUGUCUUUAUAUCAAGUUCACUUCUACUUUUCUACUAUAUUUUUAUUUUUUAGCUAAAUAAACAGCGAGAGACAAGUAGUAAAUCUUAAAAGUGAUGCUCUAAAAUUAUAUUUGAUGGAAUGGUAUUACUUUGACACUAAAUAAGUACAUAAGCUACAUAACAAAUCAAUCAAAACCAAAAACAAACAAAAAAAGACGAGAUGUCCGAUUUUCAUGGAGCGUCUUAGGGUUUCCAACCAAAAAUUUUCUAGCGGCAGCGAAGAGCAAUGUGCUUCCCUGACCAUCCAGUGGUGGGCUAUCGACAACGGCGACUCAGAGAGGAAAGUUCUUCUCAAACUGUGGUGGCCAUGGAAUCCUAACUGUUCUAAGCUCUCGACCGCAGUUGUUCUUUGCGGUUGAGAAGGUUUUAAAUGGAAGAAGAUUGAUGUCUGGGACAUCAGAGGAACCAACCGAAGCUGGUGCUUUUGAGUCGAUGGUUCUUGUCACACCCUGGACCCGGUGUCGGUGGUUUCCAAGCACCUGACGCCGAACUCGAGGCGUGAGCGGGAAAAGUAAAAAAAAUAAAACAAUUUCAAAUACUUUUCUAAAAAUUGUUAAAAACAAAAUAAAUUGUAUAACAAAAACAAUUAUAAAGACAAAACAGGCAAGCCUUGCGAUCUAUCUCAUUUCUAAUCUUUUGUAAACCUGGUUGACUCUCGUACAUGUCAACUAAACGACACAGUUAAACUUCUCGUAAGACAUGUCCAUCUAGGCACCUGAACAAGAUUCUAUAGGGGUGAGCUUACACUCAGUAAGGUCAAACCUUUUCAAGUUAUACUUAACUACAUGACACAAUCAAAUUAUCAAAUAUCAAACAAUACUUUAUAAAAAUACCAAUCCAAUGCAUGUAUGAUAAUGAAUGUCUUUCUCAAUUACUGGCUAUCAGUGCAUACAACAAAAACAUGUGAGUCUACACGUCUCAUACCGUGUAUUUUACCAACUGGGGGUGACUCAGAUGUCUCGAAUAUAUGAUCUAACAAUCAAUAAUAUCUCACCACCUGCACCUCUUUUGUUAGUCAUCUUGUUAUACUCAUGGUCUCCCGAUCCGCAACCUGCUAAGAUUGUUUUAUCGAUGUCCGCCAUCGAAAGGGCAUACUUUCUCUGUAUUUGUGCACGUGUGGGCUAAUCAUAGAUCUCGAGGACAACCCAUGAGGAAACUCAACUACACAAAAUGUCUCUAUUCUAUCAAUCUCAUUCUCAUCUCCACAAUCACCAUUCUCACUAAUCUCACAAUUUCUCACAAUGCAUUAUGUAUGCAAUCAAAUAUCGAUGCGCAUAAUAUAACAUUCAACACAUGCUUUUUAUAGCAAGCAGUAACAUCGAUCAUAUAAAUCACAGAAUACACAUGCUUUUAUCGUAAACGAUAACAAUCAAUUAGACAACUCCUCCACCACUGUCGUUAUGAACAGCAGCCACCACAACACUGCCCCAAUCCAAAUUCUUCUAAACUCAAUUUUAAUUACAUAGAGAGGUAGAGCUUGAAGAGAAGAUCAAGUUUCAUACCUCACUUGCCUUUGCCGGUGACCGUAACACACAGAACUUGGCCAGAAAACCCAGAAAUCCUUCCCCUCUUCGAUUAUCUCUUACAGAAAUUCAUAUAAAGAAUCUAAGGCCACAGGGAGAACGUAGAGACUGAGACAAAUCUACCAUUACCAUUCAUGCUUGCCGCCGUGGUUAGGAUCGAAAACCCGAUCGGAAAUAAAUCGUCUUCUCUCCUGCUUUUCUCUCUCACCGGAGCUCCACUCUUCAAAUUGCUAUCACAAGAAGGUCGGGGACGACGAGAUGAAGCCGUGGCCAUGAGUAGGGCGCCAGAAGUGACCGGAUGGCGGAGGGAGGUCCGAGCUCCGUCAUCGCUGCAGAACAGCUCGAGACCGAGGGCGGUCUGAGUUGUGUUUUUCUGUUCACUUCUACCACCUUAUCCAUUCCCAAAUAUAAUCUCAAAUAGACAGCCCAGAUCUUGUGGUUUAAAACAAUCCAACAACCCAAAUCAAGCCACCACAAAUUUCUAUUUUUAAUUUAAUUUUUGGAUAAUACCAACUUCCAAAAAUCAUUAAAAAUAGUUUCGAUGUCCAAACGAUGCUCCGUAAAAACCUACGAACUCGUAACGACGUCUAGAUUAAUCCUAUGGCUCGAAAGAUAAAAUUUGACAAACCAAAAAUUUGAAUAAUUUUCAAAAGCCACAAAGAGAAUAAAGAAUAAUAGAAAUAGAAAUAAAAAAAAUAGCUCGAAAAUAAUUUUCCUUUUAAAAAUAGAAAACCGAAAUUCUGGGAUAUUACAGUUCUUAUUCCAACAACAACAGGAUUCGAUGGCUGACCUCGAGAGAGGAUGGCGGUUUUGACGAUCCCACCGGACGGUGCUCAAUCUAAAAUGGUUGAUGCGCUUGAUGGUAGAGGACGAAAGGUUGCAGAGGUGGUGGUUAACCUGCUAACGACGACGAUCAAUGUGCCGAUAGAAGAAAUUUGGCAACCGCCAGACAUGGUUGCUAACAGAUUUGGCAGCUGCUGGACGUGGCUGCUAGCUGAGCUCUCCCAAAUGGGUUUUGGGCCUGAGUUUGAGCCCCAAUCCGUGAAUUUUGGGCUUCUUGGACAAGUUUCAUUCCCUUGGGAUAGGGUUGGGUCUUCUGAGCCCACCUUUUGGCUCAGUGGGGAAUAGACAGUUCAAGAAGUCUGAGCUUAAAUGGUAAGUGUUAGUGCAUGGAUAGCUUGACAGAUUGUGCGAGCUAGAUGCAACGAGAUGGUUUCAUAUGACUUGGAAUACCGCAAUUGAGCGCCUUGCCUCUGGUUUUAUGUCUCUCUAGUAUCUUGUAUGUAACUAGUUUUAUCCUUCGCUAAGCUUACAAAUAAAUGAGCUAAAUGUCUAAUGUAAUGACACUAUUGUGCCCUAUAUUGUCGUUGUACUCAUGUCAUUCUGGAUUUUGUUUCUAUAAAUGAUAUAUUAUUUUCAAAAAAAAUUAAUUUAUAUUGGAUGGCGUCUAAGUUUCGGCAUUGCCACUGAGACAAUCGGUUAGAAACUAAUACGUCAUAAAUUUUAUUGCAUUACAAUUACAAAAAACCUACUUCUUACAGAUAGUGACUUGAACAAAAAUUUAAAAUAUAAUAUAGAAAAAGCCUUAUUAGAAUAUUGCCUUACGAUUUUCUGGUUUCGAUUUGUAUUCCCUUAAGAGUCGAACAUAUAAAAAUAAUGGAAGAUUUAGAUUGAUUGAUUGCAUUCAAAAUGAACUCACUCAACAUGCUUAAAAAAUAUACCGCAGCCAAACUCUCUUUUUAAGGUUAGGGUUUUCUUUGGUUGUGUGGCGUCCUACUCCCAUGAUAGUUUCUAUAUCUGCCUCCACUGCUUCCAUGACAGCAAGGCUGAUCUCCAUAUUCUCUCUGAACCACCAAGAUGAACCAGUUGAUCUUGGAAACCUUUGUUGCCCAAAAACGGCUUCAUCGUGUCGUGAUUCUAUCUUGUCGACAAACUUAACACUGCUAGGGCAGUGAAUUUUGACUCCUUCAGGAGCGCAGUGAGAUCCAUGUGGCGCCUUUCAACUCCGGUGGAGGUCCAGGCAUGAGGAGAUCGGUUCCUUUUCACUUUCACCAACGAAAGGGACGUUGCUCGUGUCAAGAGAAGAGGUCCAUGGGGUUAUCAAAGAGCUAUGAUUUUACUGAAUGAUUAUAUGGUUUCUCUGACAUAAUGGUUGUGCCUCUUGAUUUUGUGUGAAUUUGGGUUGAAAUACAUGAUUUAUCGGCAGUGCUCACGACGGCGGCAACUGCACACGCUUGGUAGGUGAGACUAUCGGCCCGGUGCUUCAAGUUGACCAGUGUGGAAUCAAUAAUAGUCUUGCUAGGGUGCUCCUCACCCAUCCCUCUCAAUGAUCCAAUGCGACUUGAAAGAAGAAUUAAUUAGGGUUUCCCCUGAGGACGUGAUCACGGUGAAGUUUCGAUACGAUCGUUUACUGGGGAGAUGCAGAGACUGUGCCAUGAUAAAUCGUGGUGGUCUCCCAUGUCCAAAACUACAGGAGUUUCCCUCACUAGUGGCACCCUGGGUGGUGUCUCAACCUACUGUUCCUCAUUUGAUGGUGUUCCGUGGCAACAGACCCAUCUCUCUCUCAGUUCCCCAUGUAGUUGUGCCUCCUAUACCAAAAGACAAGAGAACAAUGUCCAUCAGACAAGUCCAUGCCUUCCCUUCUCCCACAAAAAUCAUUGGAGUUAGGGAAUAGAGGAUGACGAUGAGGUUGACGACAAGAGUGCAUGACACUAUCUGGCCAUGGUGCCUCUUCCCCUAAACCCUAAUGAGUUAGGGUUCUCAGUUGCUGCUGAUGGCAAUCUUAACAUUGUGAAAACCGGAAAAUCUCUAAAGAAAAGGGGCCGCCCCCGUGGUAGCAGAAACAAGAAGAAGAGUUUAAUAGAGAUCUUCGAUUCCAUGGCACCAGGAACAGUGGUGGAAGAGAAAAAGGAUGCGUCCGAGACUGAGGAAGGCUUAUUUCCUAGUCCAACUAGGAAAGAACCCUUCCAAACCCUAGCUUAGUCUGUCCCUCUGCUUCACAAUGAAAUGUACAUCAAUGGGUCUUAGGUUUGUUGAGAGAGUUACUAUGCUUUGAGUGAGGAAGGUUAUCUAGGUUUAUUUUGCUUUCUAGUAUAUCAUGUCCAAUAUUUUGGACAUAGUUUUGAGGAUUGCAUUUCAAUUUGUAGUUUUAUAUUAAGUACUUUGCUUUGUGUGUGAGUAAUCUUCGGAUUAUUUAGGCAUUGAUCGUUCUACCAUCAUUGAUUAUUGGCUAUAUGCCUAAUGGAGUGAUUCCAACUUUCUUAACAAAAAAGAAAAAGAAAAAAGAACUCACUCAAAUAUCAAAAAAUAUGUAUUAAAUAUCAAAAUCAUAUUAGAUGCGAGUCCAAAAUGCAAGUAUGGAUCGAUGUUGUGACUACAAGACAAUAUGUCUUAAGCAUUUGUAGUUCAUUUCUUUUCAUUUGUUUAGGCUCUUUUAUUGUAUUUGUGCUCUUGUUCUCAAGAUUUGCGGUUUUUGGUUUCGUCCCCCUCAUUGCUUUUAUAUGGCUUGGUUCUUUGUAUCUUUACUUUGUGGGAAUGAUCUUGGCUAAGUCCUCCACCCCUUAUACAUUUUCUUUUAUCAAUUAAAUUUCGACUACGAGAGAAGAUUAUCCCUUAGCUCGCUCAUGCGGCAAUUUGAUGAUUGAGAGUCCUGCUCAAUUGGUAAACAACUUGAAUAAUUUUUUUUUUUUGAAAAGAGGCGUCAGUCUAUUAGAACAAUAAAAGUUACAUGUAUAAAAAUAGCUCACCCAAAGAGGGUGAUACCAAGAAAAUCACUGCGGUGAGAGACUAAAAUAGAGACUGCUGUGGGGAGCACGUCUCUAGGAUAGAUAGGCUCACCACUCCGAGGAAUCCACUAAGGAGAUAAGAGCAUGCUCGCCACUUCAAGGAAUCCACUAAGAAGAUAAGAGCAAAACUCGCCACUCUAGGAAUCCACCUAAGAGAUAAGAGUUUGAAUAACAAAUGGGAAGAACUCCUUCACCAAAUUGUUUAAACUUCUAAUAAAACUCAAGACUAAAAUCUGAUUACAAACGAAAAGAAAACUUCCUUUUAUAACUUAAGGAAGAGAUGCGAAAAGACUACUUAUUUAAAUCUUGAAUAAUAAAGAUAAUAAUUAAAGAUCUCAUAACUCCAAGGCCAGAAGCUCAAAGAUCAAUAGUGAUUGUUCAUUGGAACUCAUCAGCUUCUUCAAUUAAUGUGGCGAAUCCUCUGUUGCAUCUAGGUUCAUGGUUCUUUGUAUCAGAGGGCUACGAUAAAAUUGAGUUAUUCGAAGGUAGGUAAUUAACUAUAUCAAAUUAAUAGACAAACCAAAUAUGUCAAACAUGAAUUGUUCAAGUUUUCAUAGUCUGUCAAUAUGGCUGAAAAUUUGCAUAAAUGAUCUACUCAUAAAUACCUAUAAACUAAACGGUGAAGAUGUGGAUCUAAGAUUGAAAUAUGGGUGAAACAAAAGUCCUCAACUAAUCCUUAUUAUAAAGGUCCUUAUUAGAAAUGCUCCCAUCAAACAACUGCCCUUUAGGAUGUUGGAUCGAAUUUUGGAAUGCAUGGUCAAACUUACCGAUCAGAUUCUGAAUCCAGAGUAAAUUAGAAGAAGAAAACAUUUGCUUUUCAUUUAGCCAAGUCUAAAAACAGAAAAGAGCGACUGAGAGUCAAUUAACUUCAAGGUAACGUUUUUUUGGACAAAAUUUCAAGGUAGCUUAGACCAGUGUGUAUGUUUCGAGUACAUGGUUGCCAAACAACUACUUCAUCUGAAAACGUGUAAUCUCUUGGGAUACAGUCCUACAACUCCAAUUUUCCAACAGAAAUGUGAAAGGGAUCCAUUUUCUAUAUCUGAUGACCUUAAAAAAAAAAACAGGGUACGUACAAAUAUAUAUUGUUCCUAAAUCAUCAAUAUUAUUGGAUUUGAGGACGUAGCUGUUUUGGAUAACGUUAUGUCAUGUAGUGUUAUUGCAUGCAGAACAUACGAAACUUCCCAGAGACAAAAUUAUUGAACUUCCAUUUUUGAGUCAAAAGGACGAGUCAAUUUGAGGACCUGCAAUAAAUUGGUAUGAACGAACAGAUAUAUCAGAUGCAUGUGAAUACAUACAAGUUAGCUAGUACUACUGAAACUGGAAGUUUCUUUCUUUACAUAUUGAGGAGAACGUUUUCUGGUCUUGGACUACAUAGUACAUACAAGUUAAAUAUAUACACCUGUGAAGAUCAUGUUCUUUGCGAAAUUGCGGCAUAUAUAAAUUUUGACUAGCAGGCUUCAAUUUGCUAUUAAAGGCAGUAAAUCUCAUCAACUUUAGAAACUCUUGUCUUCAAGACAAAAACUAUAUAUUAAAAAAAAAUUGGUAGAAUAAGCUUCGACCUUGUCAACUGAUCGAUAUUGUAUGUUGUUCAUGAGAUGUUAAUUAGUAGUGUUCAUGAGCAAGGUUUUUAAUUAGAUGAGUAGCCUAACUUGUUGAUUGUUUAAUAGUAAAAGAGAUUGAAAUAAGGUUUGGAAUUUGGUCUCUUACGUCCAUAUUAUUAUUUGAUCAAAGAAGAAACAAAUUGUGAGUUUCCACGACUCAAAGAUCAGAAGUUACAUGCAAGCAUAAAAAUCUCGGCAUCGAACUAUCGAUCGCAUAUAUUAAUAGUGAGCCACACAAUAAAUCUUUAUACAUUUAGACUAUAAUUAAGAAUCCGUAUACAAUAACGUAUGAGACACACAAGCACAACCUUUAUAUAUCCAUGCAGAACUUACAUAAGUAUUAAUUAGGGACAAUGUCUAUUAGCCUUAAUUUUAAGAAUUUUAUUCCCACCAACAAAAUCAGAUUUUAAAAUUCCUAAGAGCCAACUUAAACAGCAGAAAGACAAUUAUACCCUUAAUGAAUUAAAUAAACUACAAUAAACCAUUAUAAAAGUCUAUUAACAAAAAAAAUUCUAUAAUGGGAUUCCCACGGCCGAUGACGUUGUCCGGGUUCCGGCGACUAUUGACCGGACUCCGGCGACCGUUAACCAGACUCCGGCGACCGUUGACCGGACUCCGACAAUCGUUGACGGAACUCCGACGAAAGAUAAGGGAUCUAUUGAGGGCAGUAGGAGUCUAUUGGGAGCAGUAAGGGGUCUGUCAGGGGAUAUAUUGGGGGUAGUAGGGGGUCUUUUGGAGGCAAUAUGCAUAGGGUCUGUCCGGGGGUCUACUGGGGGCAAUAGGAGGGUCUACUAAUGAGGAUCUACUGGGGGCAGUAGGAGAGUCUACUGGGGGUAGUGGGAGGGUCUAUUGAGAGCCUACUGGGGCAGUAGGAGGGUCUACUGGGGGCAGUAAAAGGGUCUACUGAAGGCAGUAGGAGGGUUUACUAGGAACAAUAGGAGGGUCUACUGAGGGCCUACUGGGGGCAGUACGUAGGAGGUUUACUGAGGGACUACACCCAACUAAGAUUCUCUACCUACUUGAUUAAAAGAAAAUAUGAAAAAAAAAAUCACUGCAUAUUCAAACUGCAUAUGAAACAGAAUCAAUACUUACACAUUUUUUUUUGGACAAUCAAUACUUACACAUUAAUGAAUUACUCUCCCACCAUUUUUCACAUGCAUCCAGCACCAUAUCAAUGACAGUCACUGUGCUCAUUGGUCAUCAAAUAGAAUAAUCACCACCCACCCACAAUUCCCUCAUAGACUGCAUUCCCAAAUACUGAAAUUCAUGACCAAAACAAUCCAUUUUAGUAAUUCUGGACCAGAAACACAACACAAGCUACUGUGAUCCCCGCAAUGGCUCCUUUAAUUUAGACAACGAUUUCAAAAAAGCCUCAAGCUCGAAUACGGGCAAAUUGGUCACAUUGAUCUCUUGAGCAACUAAAUCUCCAAGCCAAAAUCCACGUUUUCGAAGCCAAUCUCUAAGCAACUAAAUCUCCAAGCCAAAAUCCGCGGAACACAUUGGCGGUGACGACGUACAAUCAGACGAUCUGAGACGAAGAGAGAGAUUAGAGGAGAGAGGAGAGGUGGAAGGAGACGAUGAGAAGGCAAGGGCAUACCUUAUCCCAAGAGGAGAGUGGUUGGAGAAGUGGAGGACUAGGACGGAUCCGGCGUCGUAUUGGCCAAAUAUCGAGCCAGCCUCGUCAACGAGAUCUCCCUGCCGUCGUUGUCCAGGCAUCGUCGCCUCUUCGGCGUUGUCCUGGCAUCGUCGUCGGCAUCGAGGAUAAGACGAGAGAGAGAGAGAGGAUCAUAAAGAGAAAGAAAGAAGAUCUGAAACAAUGGAUAGGAAAAAGAGGUGGAGACAUAAGAAAUAGGGGUAAUUUGGUGAAGGAAAAACACACAAAGUUAAAAAUUUUGUUAGUAGGAAUAAAUUAGUUUAUUGGGUUGAUAGGCAUUUUAGAAUCUUAUUUUGUUAGUGGAAAAAAUUUCUCUAAAUUUAGGGUUAGUAGGAAUUUUCCCUAUUAAUUAACUAAACCGUUCGUUGUUUGUUAUUAAUUAGUAUACCAAAUUUUUUUUUGUUUUUGUUUGUUCUAGUUUUCCUAGGUCAUUGGCAUCGGAAUCUAAGGUAGAGAAGGAUUAAGGCUCUCACAUUAGUUGUUCAACUAAAACUAACGUCGAGAAGGAUGAAGGCUUUCAUUAGUUGUUCUACCAUUUAGUUGACUUCUCUGUAUAAUUCUUGGCCCAAUAUUUCGGCCGGUCGUGGAAUCUUGUCAUGUUGAAUGUUUAGCGAUUCUAAGUCGUGAUAUUUUGUUUGUAUUUGUGAAGUGUGAUUUGUGAGCCUUAAUUCUCAUUUAAACAACGUACGUGAUACCCACCUAGCUAAUUAAGCUCUAAGGUGUGAGAUUGAAUCUCAUAGUCAUGCUUUAAGGUAUCAGAAAGCUAUUCAUUGCAUAAAUAGAUUCAUCCAUUGAAUUGUCUAAUGAGAGGACGACCUAUUGCUUCAUGGCCUUCUUGGAAGCCUCUCGGUUCGGGUUUAGGUUUCGGAUCCAGGCGACGAGCCUGCUCAAGUCGACGCUCGUGGCAUAGAGUAUGAGCUCUUGCAAGAAGUUAUUCUCAUUGAAAUGAAAAUCGAAGGGUAUAAUUAUCACUGACCUUGUGGAAUUGAUAACAACAAAACCUAAUUGAUGGAUCAUGGAUUUAGGAAGAGGAGUAUUGACGCCAUAGAGAUGAAGAUGAAGAAGGACUAGAAACGUCAUUCGAUGCCAUAAUCAAAUAAUUUGAUUUUAAUUAGAUUAAGUAAGAGCAUAUGUUUCAGAUUACUAUGGAUAAGGAGGAUCAAAUGUCAUGCUGACAUGGUCCUACGGGAGUGUAGAAAAAUUUCUCCUAAUAUGUACCAAUCUCAUACGAAUUUUAGAUCAGUCCCUCUCCCUCCUCCCUUCAGUAAUUCCUAAAUCUUUAACGAUGUUUCGGGAAACAUAUGACCAACAAAAGAACAAUUAAAAUGAAAUAUAUAUAUUUGGGUACGUUAAGCAACCAUUAACCAUGCUAAUCAUCAAAAGAACUAGAUCACGAAACAACCAUAUAUAUGUAUUCACUAUAAGUAUUCAUCACCCUUAUUCAUAUUGCAAAUGAACUAAUUAAACUAUUUUCCUCACUACUUACACACUAUCUUUAAGAAGUUAUGUUGAUUUAUAUUCAUUGUUUUUAUCAAAACACAAAACCCCCGGGGGAUGCGCUAGGGUUUCCAUAAAACAUCUUUAGCUUAUGUAUGAUUGUGCGUUCAUGGACGAUGUCGUCAGAUGGGAUAUGUUUCUGAGUGCAUGUGCUUAGGGAUGACAAUGGGUAUGGUAAAGUCAGGGGAUCAAAAUACCAUACCCGUACCCUUUUUCAUUCCUCAUCCCCGUACCCGUCCCGUUCCCCGUAAUUAGAUAAUGGGGAUUCCCCGUACCUGUCUCCUUUGGGGAUUACGUUCCCAUACCCGCUCUGAUCCCCGUUAACAAUUAUGUAAUAAUUAAUUUUAUUAAAAAUUAAUUACGACAUAUAGAAAUAUGAAAAUAAAAUCAAAUAUAUAUAUAUAAAUAAGUUUCUUAAUUCAAUCCAAUAAAAACGAAUACAAGUUUCGGUUAAAAAAGAAGUUUCUAUAAAUAUUCAUUAAAAAAAUCAUAGUAAAAAUUUUACAAAAGAUUUUACAUAAAUAUCUAUUUAAUAUCUAUUUAUAAAUAAUAUAUAUAUAUUAAAAAUAAUAUUUACAUCCUAAAUGGGUGGGGAUGGGGACGAAUAUCAAAAUAUCAUACCUGCCCCGUACCCGAUUCAAAAAUCCGAAUACUGAAGAUCUCCAUACCCGUCACCCAUUUAUCACCGUAUAUCUCCCCCGUUAGGAUCGAAUACCCGUGAGUACCCUACCCGCUGGGGAUUAUUGUCAUCCCUACAUGUGCUUCCCACGAUCAGAGUGCAUGUCACUAGUGGAAAUAUCGACUUAGCCGACGGAAACAAUUCGUCGCCUAAGACCGCAUAUCAGUCGAUUACAAUCUUGCCCGACGAAUUAUCCGUCGUCUAAGUUCCGUCGCCUAGGUGUCGUGAGGUAGACACUUAGGCGACGGAAAAUAAGUUAGUCUUCGACUAAGACCGAUCCAACCCGACGGACACUUACAUGCCUUGUCGACAAACGGAAUCGUUGAGAAAACGCCCUAUCGACGGAAAGUUUUUGUCGGACAUGUUCUUAGCCGACGAAUACCAAAUCCCUCUUAGCCGACGGAACUGUCUUCGGUAUGUAUGUUUACUGACGAAUAUAUGAUUGUUCUUAAGCGACGGAAAAUUCGUCGUUAUAGCUUUUGCCCGACGAAUGUGUAUCUGUUCUUAGUCGACGAUUCAUCUUUGUAUUCGUCGGACAGGUUGUUUAGCACUAAAAAAUUCCCAUGUUAAGCACUAAAAAACAAAAUUAAAAAAAUUAACACACCAAAUUAUUAUCACAAAACACAUCUUUCAAUUCAUAUCAGCACACAAUACUUUACACAUAUUCGAUCAUACUUUACACAUAUCCAUAACAUUUUCACUUUAUAAGAAAACGCCUUAUGCAAACAUAUCCUUAGACAUGAAAUUUUAUCAACAAAGAGAUGUCAAUUCGGUCAGUUCAUGCCUUCCAAUUACAUAAGCAAUCAUAUAUAUGUUAUCAAACAAAUGUAAUUAAGUAAAUUUACUUUUCAUAUACUAUUCAGUUACUUACCGACAUUGCAUUCCACACCUUCCACUUCUCAGUCUGAUCAAGGUCGUAGAACAUGCUUGCCCUCAUUCCCACCAGAUUCCGUAUGGCGCAACCAAUAUCAUGUGCCACCAAGCUGUUUAUCCCCCUGACGCUAGGGCCUUUUACACGGGGGCAAUACUCCAGCUUGAUCUUCUGCCCCGUUUGUUGAACGAUAUCCUCCGCCUUCUUUCCAGAAAAAAACCCCGCCUCUUUUUCGGGGCCAGAGCUACAAUUAACAUGUGAAAAUACAUUAUGAUACUUAAUAUACAAGAGGAUAUCUGUUGUGUGUAAGUGGCAUGAAAAUGAAAGAGACAUAUUGUACUGCAAGUUUACUGACCCCCAUUAUAAAUUUACGAACCCCCAGAAGAAGUUUACUGACCCCCAGAAGAAGGUUACUGACCCCCAGUAGACGUUUAUUGACCCCCAGUAGAAGUGUACUGACCCCCAGUGAAAAUACAUUAUGAUACUUAAUAUACAAGAGGAUAUCUUUUGUGUGUAAGUGGCAUGAAAAUGAAUAGUACUGCAAGUUUACUGACCCCCAUUAUAAGUUUACUGACCCCCAGUAGAAGUUUACUAGGGGGCAGUAAAUUAAUACACUUACUUGUUUGGCUUCUAACUUUGAUUCGAGCGCUGCCGAGAAUGCGUCUUGCAAGUUCGGGUACGGUUGCAGUCUCGGGUGCGGUUGCAUUCUCGGUUGCGGUUACAGAUGCCGAUUGAGAUCCCGUUGAACAACUGUCAACUAUAGGGCGUCGCACGAUCAAGGGGGGACCCUCUGGUGGUACUGUCUUAGCCGGCAUCGGGUUAGGAUGGCUGCUACUGCUAGCUGAGCCGACGGUCUGCCGUAUUGACUCCAUCAAAACAUUGGCCUUAGUGGCUCGGCCCUUCCUCUUCCCCAUGAUCACCAUAUCUUGCACAUGAAUAACACACAAUUGUUAGUAAAUGAGUGAGUAAUAGAUAAAGAUUAUGAAAAUUGUNNNNNNNNNNNNNNNNNNNNUUACGAUUCAGAAGUAACAAGCAAGAUCAAUCUGAGAAGAGAGAGAAUACAAACCUGCAAAAGGAGCGGCGAUGAGAAGGUGAGAGCAGAGAGGUCGUAGCGGCGGUGAGAAGGUGAGAGCAGAGAGAUCAGAGUGGCGGGUGGAUGCGGUGGCGAUGAGUGGAGGAGGUGGGUGGAUGCGCGCACUUUAAUCGGUGGCCGAUGCGUGGAUGGGGUCUAGUGGCGCGACUCUGGUGGGAUUUAGGAAUUGUGGUUGUGAAUUUAAUUAGGGAUUGUGGAUUGCGCGAGGGAGUUAGUAUAAGUUUUAAAUUAGGUUUCGUCGCCUAAGACAUUUAUUCGUGUCCUAAGUAAUACGAAAUUUCGGGGAAAAAAAAAGGCGUAAAAUUCACCCGCCUAAUAUUUUGGGAUCCUAGACGACGGAAAAUGUAUUUUCCGUCGCAUUGGUAUACCAAGCCAACGACAUAUACAAUUUCCGUCGCCUAAGUAACAUAAAAUUUUUGAAACGUGACUAAUAUUUUGUGUAUCCUAAGCGACGGAAAGGCCACUUUCCGUCGCCUUAGGAAUAUUAGGCAACGAAUUAUUCAAAUUCUUUCUCCUUAUGGGUAGUCCUAUCUUGGGUGGUUAUUUUCCGUAAAAUUUUUAUACGACUCAUUGCGUCUCAUCGAUUUGAAACUAUUUUCAGUUAAAGGUCCGGCCAAAAUACGUAAUUUAGAAGGUCCAAUGACCGUUUCCGUGCAUUUAGGGUUUGACUUACAGGAUUGACCGUCCGGAUCGAGCCCUUAACCUUGUGGGAUCAAGUUGAAUUUUUUCCCAUACAUGUAUUUUAUCAUGAUGGUCAGAUCUGACGGUCGGAUUUUCUUUUCUCAAGUUGAUCAUCACAAUCACAACAGGCCUACUAAUGUUGUAUAACUUGUUUAUCAAGUAAAUGUUCUGUUUCAAAAACAAACUAUACGUAGAACCUUCAAACGCAAAAAAGUCAUGAAAUAAGAUAUGACCAGAAUGAUGAAAUACUUCUACGAUUCAAAAAUCACGAUAUGCCGGUAAAGUCUCGGUGCCGAUAGUUGCGGUCAAUGCUAUUUUCCAUUCUUUCUCCUUAUGGGUAGCCCUAUCUUCGGUGCUUAUUUUCCGUAAAAUUUUUAUACGAAUCGUUGCGUCUCAUCGAUUUGAAACUAUUUUCAGUUGAAGGUCCGGCCAAAAUACGUAAUUUAGAAGGUCCAGUGACCGUUUCCGUACGUUUAGGGGUUUGACUUACGAGAUUGACCGUCCGGAUCGAGCACUUAACCUUGUGGGAUCAAGUUGAGUUUUUUCCCAUACAUGUAUUUUAUCAUAAUGGUCAUAUCUGACGGUCGGAUUUUCUUUUCUCAAGUUUACUGACCCCCAGAAGAAGUUUACUGACCCUCAGUAGAAGUUUACUGACCCCCAGAAGAAGUUUACUGACCCCCAGUAGAAGUUUACUUGGGGGCAGUAAAUUAAUACACUUACCUGUUUGCCUUCUAACUUUGAUUCAAGCGCUGCUUUCUAACCUUCUAACUUCUAACUUUAAUUUCGGAAAAUUUCAAGCUUCCUUUUAAAUGUUUAGCUCUCUCUUUAACUUACUCCCCUCUUCCUCAAACAUCUUAUCUUCUUCUUUCUCUCACCAAGAACUUCACCCAAUAACUUUUUCUUUCUCUUCCCCACCGAAACAAACCCACUCCGAUCCCUCUCUCUUUCCUCUCCCUCUUCUCCUCCUCCCCCUCUCCUCCCUCUUCCAACUCCUUAGAUCGAUCUAGUUCCUCCACUUCCCGACUCACCACCUCCUCCUUUCCCCCAUUUCCGCCUCUCUCGAUUGAUCUGGGUCCAUAUCUUCUUCUAUUUGCUCAUUCGAGUUGCCAGAAAGCUAUAGAAUUUGUGGAUCUUUUUAGGACUGGUUCUAAGGAUUUUUAUGUUCAGAUCUGGAGUUGUUUGUUGAUGAAUUUGUUGUUGUUGUUGGUGGUGGUGGUGUUGUAUUCGUUGUUGUUGGUGUUUGUGGUACUUGCAGUGGGUGUUGGUAAUGGUUAGUCGACGACAACGAUGGUGGAGGUUUGGGUUGAAUUAAAUUCCGAUUUGGGUCGGGUCAUAUCUGGGAUUUUGGUGGCGGUAAUCGGUGUUAUUUUGUUGGUGAUCGAUGGUAUGUGGGGUGAGCUUUGGUUUUGGUGGUGGCGACGUGCGGUGGUUGGGUCAGUAUUGAAUCAUUUGCACUUGAACAACACGACUGGCAUACGGUUGUCGUAGAUUAGUUCGAUGACACUGACAAGAACCCCGUAGUAGUUGAAACCCAGACCCUCAACCAUGACUCUAUUGUUUUGGGUGACAUGGCCUUCAUCUCGUUCUGACGUCACAAACUUAACACCGUUCACAAAACAUCCAGCACAAACUCUGUGGAUUUGGGGUCCUCCAACCAAUAAGUGCAACUCCGGGUCGUAAGAAGCAGCAAACUCCUGUUGAAUUUGCAUCAUCUGUAACAAUUUUAAGAGCAACGUUGUUACAUUAUGUAACAUAAAAAAGCAACAUAUAUUUAAUUUAUGUAACAUCAUAUAUAGAGAUCGAUAGAAAGGUACCCAAAUAGGGAAGUAAUCAGGAAAAUCUCUCUUGUGUAUGACUUCGUUACCAUACUGCCUUUCCAAAUGGGACUUGAAGUAUCGCUUGGCUUCUUCGCAAUGUUGAAGGACACACCAAUGAGCCUCUUUGAUCUCAUCAUUACUUAAUCUUUCAGAAUUAUUUAACCUGCCGUACGGUUCAACAUCGUUGGAAACAACUGAUAGAUCGAAUUGCCAGCUACUACCCGCUCCAGAUGAUUCCCCCACUGUGUCUUCAUCAUUGAGAUAUGCGCUGCAGUAAGUUACGCACUCAGCCUAAAUGUAUGUCGCCGUGAUCGACCCUUCAGGGAAACGUUUGUUUUUGUUCUUCUUCUUGAAAUCCCCCAGUUGCUGGCAAAACAAAUAUAUAUGCAAUUCUUAUAAUAAAUAUUUAAAAUACCAUUUAUCUUAAUUUGAAAGGAUGAUUAAUUAGAAUAAAUAUGAGUGCAUACCUCUCAUUUGGAUAGCACCAGGUAUACUGUACCGGACCAGUAAGCAACACUUGUUCGGGAAGGUGGAUCAUGAGGUGAAUCAUGAUGUCAAAGAAAGUGGGGGGAAAGAUCCUCUCCAGCUUGCACAUGAUGUACACAAUGUCUUCUUGCAAUGAUCGAACAUCAGACUUUUUAAGCUCUUUAGGGCAUAUCAUCUGAAAGAACUUUGACAAAGCCACUAACGUGUCAACCACAUCACUCUGCAAAUACGGUCUAAUGACCACGGGAAGAAGACGUUGCAGCAAAACAUGACAGUCAUGAGUCUUCAACCCACUAAUCUUAUUUUCCCCCAUCUUAAUACAUCGAGCGAUAUUCCCUGCAUACCCGUGAGGAUACUUAACGUUUCCAAACCACUGAAACACUUCUGCCUUCUUUUGAGGAUGAACUGUGUAGCCUGCUUUCGGCAUUAUGGCUUUUUUUACUUUUUUGCUCUCUACUAGCCAUAGCUGGGGGCGUAUACCCAUCAUCUUAAGAUCAACACGGGAUUUGGGGUGUCUUUGUUCUUAUGUUUGAGAUUCAGAAUUGUUCCAAGAACGUUGUCACAAACAUUAUUCUCUAUGUGCAUGACGUCCAAGUUGUGUCUGAUUUUCAAGGUCGACCAGCAAGGCAAUUCAAAGAAUACACUUUUGUGCGUCCAAUACUUCAACUCAUCACGCGUGGGAGGAUUCAAGUCAGUUACUUCUUUACUCGUGCUCAAAUAUCCGAACCAAUGCUGGUUAAGCCUCUCCAAAUCCACUCACAAGACCUCCCUGGGGGUUUCAGAUUAUGCUCCUCAGUCCCAUCAAAUGCAUCAGCAUCCCACCGCCACUCGUUAUCCUCGGGAAGAUGUCUACGAGAUCCCAAGAAACAAAUUUUGUCGGCGUGCCAACUAGAAUUGACGUCAUCUAUGCAUACCGGGCAAGCCUUGUACCCCUUAGUUUGUUGGCCAGACAACAUCCUGUAAGCUGGAAAAUCAAUGAUGGUCCAAAUAACAGCUGCUUUCAUCAUGAAUGAAAUUUGACCAUGCCUGUCAAAAGUAGGGAGUCCAUUUUCCCAUAACUCCUGCAACUCGUCAAUUAAUGGUCUCAUGUACACAUCCAAGCACUUUCCUAGAGAACACGGCCGUGGAACCAUAAGCGUAAGGAAAUUGUACUCUUUCCUCAUACACAUAUUGGGAGGUAGAUUGUACGGAAAUACUAUCACAGGCCAAAUGCUGUAAGACAAAUUCAUGUUUCCAGUAGGAUUGAAUCCGUUUGUUGCAAGUCCGAGUCUGACAUUUCGACAGUCUCCAGCAAAUUCGGGAAAAGAACGGUCAAAGUGUUUCCAAGCCUCCUCGUCUGCGGGGUGUGUGAGAUUAUCCGGAUCUAUUCUCUCCUCUCCCUGGUGCCUUGCCUGGUGCCAUCUCAUAUGUUUGGCCGUAUGGGAAGACAUGUACAGAUGUUGCAAACGAGGACCCAACGGGAAGUAACGAAGAACCUUCCUAGGAAUGGGCUCUUUCUGCUUAGAUGAAGUGGAAGCUUCAUACCUUGGCUCGUAGCAGUGUGGGCACUCAACUUCAUCCUUGUUAUCUUUGUAAUAUAAGAAGCAGUUAUUGACGCAAGCGUCUAUCUUUUGGUGAUCAAGACCGAGGCCAGCCAACAUCCUUUUUACCUGGUCGAAAUUUUCCGGACAACUGUUACCUUUGGGAAGCACUUUCUUCAUAAGUGCAAUAUCCGCAUCAAAACAUGUCUUAGUCUUUCCCUGCUUGUUUUUUAUCUGCAUUUGCUCCAUAGCAAUACCUAACACAGUAUGCUCACUACCAAGAUACAAUGGGGUUUGUCCUUCCCGUACAAGCCUGUUGUAAUUAUCAUAAUCACUGUUGUAGUCAACGUGGGAGACAUUUGGGAAGGUGUCAAGGGCGUUGUCAUAAACAACAUUUUGCUGAUAUCCUGAGGCAGCGCAGCGAACAGGAAGGCAUCGUUUAAGAGGUUCAUCACAACAGGGUCCCCGUAACUAGCAUUGGAAGAUCCUGCCUACUGAUUAUGUUAUGCUUGAAUUUUUGCAAGUGUAGGCAUUUGAACUUGAUUUUCGCCGUGCCAUGUCCAUGUGGUAUAACUAGGACAAAUACCGUUUAGUGCCAAGUGAGAAUACAUGUCUUCAUAUGUUAUUGAUGUCCGAUUGAGACAUUUGUUGCACGGACAUAUGUGAAUAACUUUGUCUGGAGGACUACGUAGACGCACGAACUCAAGAAAAUCAAAAAUGCCUCUCAUAUAAACUGGGGACCCCCUCCCUAAUUGCAUCCAGCUCUUGUCCAUGUUGUAUACUAUAAUAACAAGAAACAAAAAUAUAUAAUCAAAAAAUCGUGAAUAAAAUAAAGCAAGAGAAAUAUAUAUAGAUAUAUAUAUACACAUACACACACACACACACACUUUGUUGGGAAAAUAAACAUUUAACUAAAAAACAAGAAUUUUAAAGCCCAUUUCAAUGAAAAAACUUUUGAGUAACCCAUAUUAUUGUUUUAACACCUCUAACAAUUAAUAUUAAACCCUUAUUGCAUUAAUUAAUUACACGUUCUCUCUCAUAGUAAAAAAAAUAAAAAAUAUUAUCACGUUCUCCCAAACUCCCACUCUCCAUGAUCAACCGAACUCUCACCUCUGCCACUCUCUCUAUCUCUCUCUAACACUCGAUAACGAUCUCUGGUUUAAGGUUCUUCACGAUCUCCGUGAUUCCAUCGAUCAGGCCACGUCGCUCUCUCGUUAAAUAUCUGUCGACUCCGUCGCUCUCCGCAUGCAGAUAAAUCCCAGUUGAGCAGGAAAUCGCUCUUUGCCCUAAUCUCAGUCGAUCAAAGUUGAUCUGUGGUUCAAUCUCGGCGUCGCUGUCACGUUCAAUCGCUCACGCUUGGCGUCACUCUCUGGUUGAAUAUCGGCGUCGAUAUCUGCUUCAAUCGCUCUCACUCGACCUCGCCUGGGAAAACCAUAAAAACAGGUACAUUUUGAAUUUUAUUGAAUUUAGGCUUAUUUUGGACUUUUCUGAUGAUAUUGAAGCUUCAUUCUAGGGAUUAAAGGCCAUGAAUAUGAAAACAUGAAAAUUAUAGGGUUUCUCUGGUCAUAACUGUUACAGAUUGAGAUUAAUUUUGUUUAAGGUAAUCAUACAAAGAUUUACUGUGUAUAAUUGGCAUGACAAUGAAAGGGAGAUACUGUAUUGUUGUCUGGUCAUAACUGUUACAGAUUGAGAUUAAUUUUGUUUAAGGUAAUCAUAUAAAGAUUUACUGUGUAUAAUUGGCAUGACAAUGAAAGGGAGAUACUGUAUUGUUGUUUACUCUUGUCAAGUAGAAGUUUACUGGGGGGGCAGUAAACUUACACUAGGUUUACUAUGGUUUAAUGAAGUUGUUUAUUAGGGUAAUAAUAGGUAUCUGUUGUGUAUAAUUGGCAAGAUUAUGAAAGGGACAUAGUGUAUUGAAGUUUACUGGGGGCGAGUAAACUUCCACUGGGUUUACUAUGGUUCAAUGAAGUUGUUUAUUAGGGUAAUAAUGGGUAUCUGUUGUGUAUAAUUGGUAUGAUUAUGAAAGGGACACAAUGUAUUGAAGUUUACUGACCCCUAGUAGACUUCUACUGGGGGGCUGUAAACUUCCACUGUGUGGGUAGUAAACAUUUUUUUUUUUUGUAUAUGCAGUUUAUAAAUGCAAGUUUUUACUUCUUAUAUGCAAGAUGGGAAGAAGUUCAAGACAUUUAGUUCUCACUUCUGAUACCAAAGAGGAUUCGGUUCAAGAAUCUGUAGCUUCUAUGAGGACAUAACAAAAUAAAGGAGAAGUUUUAUAGAAGAUAAAGUCGAAGAAAAAGAGAAAAGUGGUCCAAAAGGGUGCCGCUGCUGAAGAAGAAGAAGAAGAAGAAGCAGUACUGGUAGAAGAAGAAGAUGAUGAUUACACUGAAGAUGAAGAGGGGAAAAUAAAAAAGUAUCUUUUUCAGAAAAGAUCAACAGGCAGAGAAAGAAAACAAGCGGAGACAGAUUCAGGGGAGGAGGAGGAGGAAGAAAAGGGAAGAAAGAAGAAGGAAAAAGGAGGAGAAGGUGACUUGACCAAGAUCAAACACGUGCAGCAAAAGUGCUCACUGACAUCAUUUUGUGUGUUAAUGAAUAGAUACAAGGAGACCAUCCGAGAAGAAUCAUGGGAGUUGAUAAACAACACUUGUUUUCGGGGAAUAAUUGAAGCAUUCAGAUUGGGCAAGGUUGAGGAGGAUCAAGUGAGGAAGCUUGAAUCUGAUUUUGAGAUCCUAAUGAGGCACUACAACAGUGACAAUAAAAACUUCAUAUUUGGGAACAGGGAGAUUAAAAUUACGGAGCAUGAUGUUCAUUCAAUUUUUGGAAUAACCAAAGAAGGCUCGGAUGUGGAUAUCACAAUAGACCAGAAAUACUACAAGGGCAGUAAGAAGAAUUUGGCAGAUUCUACUGUCUUUGGAAAGCAAACAAGAAGAACAAUCACCAGAAAGAUUAUUGAUGACACAUUAAUGGAAGAGCUUAGGAAGAUUCAGAAGAAGAAGGGGGAUCCAAGGAAGAUAGCUUCUUUGGUUAUAAUGUACCUUAUGGCAGCUAUAUUUUUCAGCAGAAGCGGGAACCACAUUGAAUGGAAACUGAUACUCAAGUGUGAAGACCUUGAAGGCAUCGACAAAUACAACUGGUCACAUAAGGUAUUAGAAUUCUUGCACCAAGGACUUCACAAGCACGUAAAGGGGGAGCCAAGAGUUUUGAACGGAUGCCUCCUUCUGGUUCUAUACUGGUUCCUUGAGAAAACAAAAAUAAAGAAGCGGAUUAUCGGGAAAGAGAAGGAGACUCCCAGAUUUAUAAGAUGGUCAAUACAAGAGAUCAUCAAAGAAAAUGAGUAUUUGAGAAGACCUGAAUUGCUAGAGGUAAUGAUAUUUUAUUUAUAUAGCCAUUUAAAAAAAAAAAAAAUAUUGCAUUGUAUUUUUUGUUGUUUGAAAAACUAAAUUAAACUGAUUUGUGUCGUAUAAAUGUAAAAACAAGAACUCAUAAUAGAAGGUCCAUGGAUGGAUGAGGAGGAAACGAGUUCUGACAAUGUUGAGCAGCAUCAAGAUGACAAUAGAACACCAAGGACAAUUGAUUGGGUAAGUUUGAAUGGUUACUAACACCCAGUAAAACUAUUGGCAAUUAAAAUGGAACUUCAAUUGCAAGUUUACUAACCCCUAGUAGAAGUUUACUAGGGAGCAGUAAACUUAUAUUGGGUUUAUCAGGGGGCAAUAAAGUUGUUUAUUAGGGUAUAUUAAGUGUGUAAUUGUCAUGAAAUAGAAAGGGAGAUAGUGUAUUGCUGUUUACUGACCCCCAGUAGAAGUUUACCCCAGUUUACUGACCCCCAGUAGAAGUUUACUAGGGGGCAGUAAACUUAUACUGGGUUUACCAGGGGGCAAUAAAGUUGUUUAUUAAGGUAUAUUAAGUGUGUAAUUGUCAUGAAAUAGAAAGAGAGAUAAUGUAUUGCUGUUUACUAACCCUCAGUAGAAGUUUACUAGGGGGCAUUAAAGUUGUGUAUUUGUAUAUAAUUGUUUAACAGUAACGAUUUCGUUGUUAUAACGUGUACAGGAGCUGCCGAUGGAAGAUAUGAAGAAGAAGCUGGCAGAACUUGCCAAAGCAAAUGAAGAACUGGUGAACAAAAACACUGAAUUGCUUGGCAAGUUAAAGAAAGCGGACAGGCAAAUCAUUGAGCUAGAGAAAGAAAGGAGGGCACACAAAAAUGAAAUCAACGCUCUUAAGAAACAGUUGCACAAGGGGGCAAAACAUGCUCAGACAAAGCAGAUAAUAUGUGUAACUGAGGAGAAGGAGGAUGAGGAGGAUUAGUUCAAAGCCGGUUGAAGAGGAAGAAUAUAACUGCAGAGAGGAGCAACCAGGAACUGAAGAGGUAAGGGUAGAAAUCCUUUUACUGACCCCCAACAAAUAUUGUGUUUUCUUCAUUUUUUUGAGGAUAACUUGUGUGUUUUCUUUUGUGUAGUUUUUGAACAAGUAGCAAAACCAGUUCCGUUGCGACAGGUAUUUCCAGAAGACGAUGAACCUGUGACGACCGAUAUCAACCUGUCUAAACUAGNNNNNNNNNNNNNNNNNNNNAAUAAGUUGAUGUUUGAGUAACCUAAGAUGUACUUUGUUGUAAUUAUUUGUGACUUAUAUAUGUUGUACAUGCAGACCAUCAGGGUGUACCUCGCAAUGUUGAAGGAGGAAAUGGAAAAGAAGAAUGUCUCGGUCGGAUUCCUAGACAUAGAGGCAGCGGUAAGUAGUCAAACCUGAAAUAGCAGCGUGCCGCAGCACCGCGGUCUCCUCCGUUACUUUUUUUUAGUUAACACAAUCUUACUACUUGCUUUUAUAAAUACAGCGCACGGCGGUGGUACAUGAACAAAAACUGAAGGAGUUCCUAGCUGGAGGAGGAAAACAGGGGGAAUUCAAAUGUAAUGAAUUGGAUAUAGAGCUUUCUAUUAUUAAUCCUCUGUGGUCCAUCUUCAAUAAGGACCUAGUUUUCAUUCCAGUACAUCAUGGGGUCAGCCACCACUAUACCUUGGUCCUGAUUGACAACGAAGCUCGAUGCUUCUAUCACCUGAACUCAAUGCUACCGCCAAGGAAAGAUUACUCUGCCGACACCAACAACCACUUUCAGAAUGCAAAGACAAUGGUGAGUUGUAACUGAUUUAUUAGGGUAAGAAGUUUACUAGGGGGCAGUAAACUUCUUACCCUGUUUUUUGUUUGUUGCUUGUUCUCUUAGUUUGUUUAAGUUUUAAUUUACUUGUGUGUUAGAACCAACAGGUGAAACACAUUAUGGUGUUCAUCAAACGCGUAUAUGAUUCCACCAAAUACCCUCUCAGCCAAGGCUUGGACCCUGAGGAAUAGAGGGAAAACUAUGACAAGCAGGACAGCCAAGGAAUAGUGGUUGAUGAUUACUCGAUGAUGAGUGCUGAAGAGAAAAGAACAAGAAGAUGGAUGCUGGACCAAAACAUUUAUCAAGCAAGAUACAAGCUGAAGGAUAUCUUAUCAUGCUCGCAACAAAACAAAACAUCGUAAGUACCUUUAAACUUUCUUUAAAGAGUUUUAUUGGGGUCAGAAAUUACUUGUCUGUUUUAUUGGGGUGAAAAAUUUAGUAACGCUGUUUCUUAAUACAUUGCAGGUCAGACUGUGGACCAUUUUUGCUCCACUUUAUAGCGAGCCUAUGUCAUAGGAAAAAACCGACAAAAGAUGGCUGUAAUAAAAUGAGGAGGAAGAUUCUGCUAAAGUUCAUGGACAUCAAUAUAACAAAAAGUUUAGUGUCACUUUAGAUGUAGGAUCUUCAAAAUGUGAAAAUAUGUAGUAUUUUGGUAGUGUUGCAAGAUAUGAAUGAUCUUGAAUUUCAGUAAAGGAACUUGUUCUUUUAGUAAAUUUGGUCUAUUCCUUUGAUCUUUCUGUCAGUUUCAUUUAUCAUUGGUUGUCAGUUUCAGAUUUUUUUUUUUUUGUUACAGGGUGGUUAUUGGUAGUCAGUAAACUUUGGUUGCUCUGUUCAGGAAAAUUAUUGACCCCCAAUAAUUUUCCAUACUUGAAAGUUUACUACCCCAUUAUGUUAUUAGAGGAUGGUUGAAAAGAAUCUAAGUAAUAACAAUCAUCUAAAAACUUUGGUUGCUCUGGUCAGGAAAAUUAUUGACCCCCAAUAAUUUUCCACACUUCAAACAUAUGAGCAUAACAAAAAUUGGAAGCAUUCCAGAUAAAACAAAAGACCUGGAAAUGAGUAAAAUAAACAUCCAAGUAUCAAACUGGAAGAAAAUAAAGGAUGGCGGAUGUGUUGUAAAAAUUACUGACCCCCAAUAAUUUUUCAUACUAUACAUAUAUAUGAGCGUAAUUUUCCAAUCAUUUUCCAUACAUGAGAGUUUAAUUACUACCCCAAUAAUAUUCUUCAUCUAAUACCUCCGGUUAGGGCCCUAAUCCCGUUUGAGAGCAUAUGACAUUGUGAUUUCGUUUGUUGUUGGGGCGUUUCGAAUUCGCAUAUGUGAGAAAAUUCCGGCAGCAUCUCCGUACAGUUCCCCGAGUGCACAAAUAUCUAUACCUAGAAUGCACUCGAGGAGCAAUAAUUAAAGGAAGAUCUUGUCGAAAUAUAUAUACCCACAACCGAAAACGAAACCCACCAACAACAAACAAUGUCAUAUGCUGCCAAACUGUCCAAAUAUGGGACAAUUCGAAAACCAUUUUGUUAGACACAGUCGUAACAUAAUGGUUCUCGAACGGGAUUUCUAAGGGUAACAAUAUAUAUUGAUGAAUGUAUAAGAAUAUUAUAAUUCUUAAUUACAUGAUUCAUCAUUUUAUUUUUUAUCAUAUGAUGAUGAUAAUACACAAAUCGAUUUGAAUGAAAACAAAAAUUUGAUAAACAUAUUAUUCACAUAAUCAUUAAUCAUACAUACAAAAGCUAAAGAUAUAUAUAUAUAUAUAUAUAUAUAUACUUUAAAAUUAAACACACAAAAGUUAGAUAUAUAUACAAACAUAAUACUAUAUAGUUUUCAUGCAUAUAUAAUAUUAUACGUACGUAUAAACAUAUUAUACACACAUAUCUAGUAAUUAUAUUAAGCAUACAAGUAAGCAACAAUCCAUCAAAAUUGGAUCGGCAAGUCGCCGAAAGUUCGCAGAAAAUAUGCCUAAAAGAAGAAAGUAGAUAUAUUAAUUAAAGUAGUUACAUAUAUACCAAUUAGCUAAGAGAUCGAGAUCGAGGCGCACAGCUCUUCAAGAUCGAUCAACUUCAUGAAGAAAAGCUUUCAAAACUAGAUUGGAUCGGAUGAAUAUUCCAAUGAGGGGGAGGGGAGCUAGACCAUGUCUUAAUUUCUUCUGCGUUCUCUUCUGGGCAAAAGGUGUAUAAAUGGAUGAUGUGUAAACCUAGCCGACGGAAAAUUCCGUCGCCUAAGAGAAAAGGCUUCGGAAAAAUACUUGUCCUGCUUUGUGUCAGGCAAUAAUUCAAAAUCAUAGGCGACGGAAUAUUCUAUCGCCUAAGAUAAAAGACUUCGGAAAAAAUAUUCGUUCUGCUUUGUGUCAGGCAAUAAUUCAAAAUCUUAGGCGACAGAACAGUUCGUCGCCAAAGAAAAUAAAUUCGUCUCCCAAGUACAUCCUAGCCCACGGAAACGUCUUCGUCGCCCAAGAAAAUUUCAAACGACGGAAAACUGUUCGUCGUAUAAGAGAGACAUACCGACGAAACAAUAUUCGUCGCCCUAGAAAAUGUUAGACAACGAGAUCAUACCGACGGAAGAUAUUCGUCGCCUAGGCUUUACUAAGGUGACGGAACCUGGACGACGAAUGGUGUUUCGUCGUGUAGGAAAAUCCUAGUCGAAGGAAGACGUGUACGGUUAUUUUCCAUCGCCUAGGAUAUCUUAGAUGACGGAUGCGGCAUCAUAGAUGACGGUUCCUCUUCCGUCGGUGAAGAGUUACUUGGCCGACAGAAUUAGUAUAAUUUCGUCGGCUAAGUUGAUAUUUCCUGUAGUGUGUGCUUCCCACGAUCAGGGGAGUGCAAAUUUGCCGAUCACCCUAAGUUGCCCACCCACCUAAUUUCAUGUCAUGUGUCAUUUUUGUUAACUAAACCAAACUAUGGUUAAUGAUAUAGAAUUUAAUAAAUAAAUUUUGUUUUCCUUUGAUUUUAAAGUAAAAAUUAAGUCAAAAAAUGAGCAUCAUUCCAAAAACCACGAAAUGAAAAUCACGAACUAAUCCAGAAGGCAGAAACCAUGAAUUGAUGAAAAUGAACUGAUCCCAAAAAAUAAACAAGAAUGCCUUCAUGACAUCUGCUUGCUAAUCCCAAGUGCAGGAGUCGCGUAAUAGUAUAGACUCGGAAGUACGCGUGUCGUUUCCGUCGAGAGCAGUGAAAAAGUACACAAAUGAUGAACUGAAAAAGAAAACGAUUGUGAGUUUAUGUAACAUCCCGAUUAUUAAAAUUUCUCAAAAUUGAUUUUUCUUCUUAGAAAUAGAAAGUAGAGGUCGUCAUGAGUUCGCCAUAUUUUUCGGUGAAUUUUCGGAGUUCCGAGCUAUUUUUAACGAUUUUUUUAAGAUUGGGUUCAAAUAGGAUCGGAAUGCCACGUGGCGCAUUCCGAUUGGUUAAGAGUCUGACAUGUGGCAAGUGGAGAGGAGACCAGCUGACGCGCUGACAUCACCCAUAUGGGCUGAUGACGUCAGCAUCAGCAUGAGUCAUUGUGGGAAUGUGUUGUUGUUUAACACGUGGCAACAAAUGGCCUAAUCAUUUGUUGACACAUGGCACUUUUUUGGGUAUAAAUAGGAGGGAACAGCCCCUCAUUUCCGUAAGUCUCUCUCUCUCUCCCCUAAAUUUUCUCUCUCUAGGGUUCUUGCGACUAAACUUCGGCGGAUCAUAACUUUUGAUCCGUAACUCCAAUUCUGAAUCCACGAAGUGCUACGGGUUCGUCUCGAUGUCCUCUUCCUAUCCUAGAGGUUUGAGCUAGAUCCAACGGUGAUUCUAGAUGGCUUGUUUUAGGAGGCUCGGUUUACAAUCGGUAUUCGUGGUUGGGUUUCGCUUUGUCGAGGUGAGUGGAUUUUUGUAAUAUGUUUAAAAUAUUCUUAUUUGUUGUCAAAUUUGUCAAAAAGCAUGAUUUUGAUCUUUUACGAAAUAUCUCUCUUUUUAUAGUGAAGCAUGUCUAUUUGCAAAAUAUGCGGUGUUUAUAUAUAAUUAUGUGUUGGAUCCAUUGUUUGACUAGUUAUGGAACAUGUGAACUUCUUUAUUGGUUAUGCCGAAGUAAGGAUGUGACACACGGAGGUUUAGGACAUGAAGGUCAUUAGGUUCCCGUGGGGAUCACUAAAUUGAAGGAUAUCAAAUAAGAAAGGAUUGUGCGAUGUGAUGAAUUGUUGGUAGUGAUGUGUAUACGAUAUACGUAUUUUGUAGCGUGUGUAAAAUGACAUGGUUUUGCGGGCAUAUUACAUUGGUCUACUCACUGAGCAUGUGGUUAUGGUCACCCACCCAUCUCUAAUAUUUUUUGCAAAGUACUUGGAUUUGACUGAGCCGGGAAAGGGUAGCCAACGAGCCUAAAAGAUAGUGUUCUUAUUUUAUUUCGUUUUGUAACACUCGUUCACGCCUCGAAAUUGACGUCCGAUGCUUAAAAUCCACCGACGCCGGGACCGGGGUGUGACAAUUUAAUUGAGAGAGAAUACGAUAAUGAGAGACACUAAGGUUUUGGGGUUCCACCUUAUAUCACUUAUGCAAUUAUAUCAAUUCGACUCUUUUCUAUGAAACUUAUUCAAGAAAUGUGACUCUAAAGAUGAAUUCAGUUAAAGUUGUUCAAACACAUAAACUUAAUAAUUUCAUAGGAAUUUCACAAGCAUAACCUGUACCUAUGGCAACAACCUAUCAAGAUUCAAUUCCACCGAAAUCAUCAAUCAACAUGCUAAAUACUUAGUCUCAAAAGCAUGGAUAUUUUUACCAAACAAUAGGAAAAGCAUGACUGAACCUAUGAAAUAGAUUAUCAAAUACCCAUCAAUCGAAUUAAAAAGUAAAAGCAAAAAUUAAAAUUGAACAUUCGAAAACUGAAUUUGCAUUGAAGUUGCAGUCGAAUCGAAUUAAUAAAAACUACAUAAGUAAUCCAAGGUUUCUCCCCUAGCCUUAGCUAGGAGAUUAGUUCUCCAUAACAGAAAUUGAAAAACAAUAAAAUUGAGUUUUCCGAGAGUACAACUAAGGUCGAGGGAUUCCGAAGAAGAGAGAGAAGAGAACGGCGCCAUCUGCUUCAAAUCCAUUAUAUUCCUAGCAGCCAACCCUUUGUCGAUAUCCAACCCGAAUAGAUCCUCUUGAUUUCACGUAGGCCAAAUCUUCCAAUUCAUGAAAAGAAUCAAUCUUGAUUGAACUUUCCUUUCUAAUGGCUUCAUGGAGAUAUUGGCAAUUGGGCUCUUCAUAUCUUCUUGAUGCCCUUCGCUUCUUUCCAUUAAAGGGUUGUUACCUUGAGAGGAUUCAGGAAAUUGAGCUAGGUUUCUAUUGAAGGAAUAGGAUGGUGACGUCUUCAAUUGAGAGGUGGAGAUGUAAGGACUCAAAGAGAUAGAAGCAAGUGAAACACGUGAGAGGCUUGCUCUCUCUCCCUUUCCAAUAAUCAUAUGUAUUAACAAGUGAACACAUAAGCCAACAUCACCAAGUCCAUGUCCAGUAUCUCUUUUGGGCCUCUACAUGCUGAAAUACAUCAUCCAAAUAUCAUAAAAUUUUGUUCAAGAUUUCUCCUCUUUAAUUUGCUUCUUAUUCCCUUCUUUGCUCUGAAACACCUAAUAAACAUAAAAAUAACUAAAUUAAAUAGAAAAUACGCUAAACUAACAAAAUAAAUAGGGGAAUUAACCAUCAUAUCGUUGCAUAUUUAUGCUCCUAACAACAUCUGAGGAUCACAGAAACCACGAAAAUGGUGUUCAUCACAUCCCCAAAUUAUUACAUAACCCAAAACUUGAAUCUCAACCCGAAAACCACCACCCUCCAAACCCUAAAGCUCCAAAUCGAACAAACCUCCCACAUCCUUAUUAGUUAAAAAGUCACCCUCAAGUAUAAGGGGUACAAGUAAUAGUAUAGGAAUUAAGAAAGGUUGUCGAACCCAUGAGGAUUAGAUCCUUUCACUAGCUAGGGUGUUAACCUUAAGAGAGCUAGAAUGUGCAAAUGUACAAUCACAAACCUAAACACACAAGGAAAUCUAGGCUCAUGGUGAGUAUGUGCAAAAUGGACUAGUAGGGGAUUUUGGGUUUUUGAAGUACGUAGUUAACUAAACUAAACUAAAUGCUCAAAUUGUAAACUGAAUUACUCUAAACUAAACUUGUCGUCUAAUGAAUGGUGUUAGGAUUCGAAUUGUCUACUACUCACCUCCCUUGUAAGUAUUGAUGCAAAUCAAAAUGAACGAUGCUAAACUAAUCAACCAAUUUCUCUCCUUGCAUCCAUCUCGGCAAAACCCUAGACAUGCUCUUUUUGUGGUAACAAACAACCCCUCUCGGGUGUAGUACUUAACUACUUAAGUCAUGUAUUUCAAUCCAGUUAGAUAUCUAGUGCAUUACCUUAAGUGCAUAAAGUUUGAAGAUAAAGAAACUGUGCAAACCAACCAAGCUUAUCUCUAAGUGAUUGUAAUUCAUAACCCCUACAUGCACACCUAGUGUGCUUUCAUGCUCUAACAUUCAAAGGUUACCAAGCUCUAAACAUUAUAUCAUGACAUGGUAAACACACAUACUCAAAGUGGUAAAUUCUAAGUAUAUGUAUUCAACUCUUGAACUAGCAUGUAAGAAUGUUAACUAAAAUUGAAUCACAUCAUAUAAUAGCAUCAAUCCAUACAUGAUUGGUUAGGGCUUUCAACCUUAACCCCAACAAGGUACUACUCACUCAUAAUUACAUAAACAAAUUUCAUGACCAAAUUAAACAUCAAAUUGAAUCUAGAGUAAAAGAGAUAAAAUUGGCUUAGUGGUGUGUCGAUUUGUCCCCAAGAUCAUGUCUUAGUGGUGGAGGUGAUGGUGUGAUUCACUCUCCUUCUUGCUCUUGAAGAUUUGAUGAUGAAAGGUAGUGAAGUUUGAUCUAUGCUUUGAGUGAAUAAGUAGAGUGGAUGGAGAAAAUGAUAGAGAAAAGAGUGGAGAAAUGGUGGACUAGUGGUGGUGUUAAUGGAGGUUUGGGAUUAGAGAUGGUGGUGGUGUAGGAGGAGAUGGAGUAGUUUGGGGGAGGAAAAGGAAGAAGAUGGGUUUUGAUUUUGGGAGAUGGAGAUGGAGGUUUGUGGUGGAGAUAGAGUGAAAAAGGUAGAGAAUGGGUGAAUGGGUGGAUGAUGGUUCAUCAAAAAGGUGACGGGGGAGUAAAAAAUAUAUGAAAGAGAAGCAAAAAGUGGGAGAGACAACACAAAAUCAUCUCCCCUCUCUUCCCAUCCGAUUCUUCCGAAAUGGAAGAGUGUUCACAUUGCCAAACUUUGCCAAAUCCAAGGCAUAAAAGUGAAAGGGAAAAGGUGAAAGAAAAAGGUAAUGAUGGAGAAAAAUGGUAGGAAAAAGAUGGUGUAACACAAAAACAUGGAGGGGUUUUUGUAGAAUUCAUGGAGGACUUUUUGGGCAAAAAGGAGGAGUGAUGAUUAUGGUGUGGGAAAGAGAGAAAUGUGAUGGAGUUGAGUUUCAACUAUAAGGUUGAGAAUUAGUUAAGAAUGAACAAUGUUACUCCACCUCUCCUCUACCAUGAAGGUGACCGAAAAAUGUAUGACACCACUGAUAGCCAAAAAGUCACCCUCAAGUAUAAGAGCCAAUUUAUAGUGUAGGGAUUAUGAGUAAGGGAUAUCGUACCCAAGGGAUUGGUAAACCCACUCUAGCUAGGAAUGUAACGCCCCGUACCCAAUUUUACCUAUUUACUGGGUAUUCUACGAGUUACUGAGGAAUUUAACCGUGCUCGGUAACUUAGUAAGUUAACACUCGAGUUUAUUUGCGAAUUCUUUUGGAAAUGUCAAAUUCUUCUUUUAAGGUCUCGGUGUCGUAGUUCGCGUCAACACGGGUUUUCCGGUAUUUUCGGUUUAUUUUUGGAGCUUUGAAGUAUUUUUCUAUGAUUUAUUGAAGGUUGGCAAAAAGAAAAUUUAUGUUAUGAAAUUAGAAAAUUUUGGUUUAAUCUUGGCCGUCGGAUCUUUAGGAUUUGAUCUCAACCAUUGGUUUGGGUAUAAAAGGAUAAGAGAGGAUUGACUUUGUCAAAGCCCAAUUCGGACGUUGACCGAGUUGCAAUCCAUCUCCUCUCUCUCUCGAGGUCUCUUGUGACGCACAUCUGAGUGGCGUCGUCCGGCCACCCCUGGUGCUGAGACCACCACCGAUCUCUUCCUCUCUUUCUUCUCUACAAGACCCAGUUCAUAGAUCAUCAUUUGCAACUUGAUUCGGUGGUAAUCGUGUCACAUCCCGGUUUUUAAGUCAAUUUGCGGUUAUUUACUUUUUGAUUACUUUGACAUUUUACUGUUUUAAGUAACCGUUUACUAUUUAAGACUCUAAAAGUUGACUUUUUCUUUCGUUUGGAAUUUGGGAAAACUUUCUUCAUGAAAGUUGUAGAGGACGUUAAUACGAGUUCGUAGACAUGCUAAACGUUAAAAUCGGAGUUAGCAUGAAAAAGUUAUUAGAUAAAAAGAGUAGACUUUGUUUGGUAAAGAGAGGUUAAUUGUUUUAGUAGGUAUUAUUUUUGGAGGUGUUUUAUUGUUGGAGUGGGAUUUUAAAUGGUGGACCGGGUCAAAAAUGGGGUCAAAAGGCCCAACUCAUUCUCUCUCUCUCUCNNNNNNNNNNNNNNNNNNNNACUACUACUCUCUCUCUCUCUCUCUCUCUCUCUCUCUCUCUCUCUCUCUCUCUCUCUCUCUCUCUCUCCCGAGCCAACCCCGACCCGUCGGAUUCCUCGGCUCCGACCGCCGCCCUCCGGCCACCAUAGACCGGCGCACCGAUCCUAAACAGUCGGCCGUCGACCCAGCCUUCUUCCUGGACCAGUGAGAGCUGCCCUAGCGCCACCUUGAGGGAGAGAGCUCGCCCGGAAACUCCGGCUGCGUGGUGGAGUCCCGACGCCGGAACUUGCUCCUCCGGCCACCAUUUCUAGUGAUUUCAGUUCCAUUGGGAAGUGCUCUCCGUGUGUAACAUUUCCCUAGAAGGUAAUGAUCCAAUUCGAAGUGUAUAGGAGGAUUUUCGGGCUAGGGUUUGAAUUGGGGGAUUUUUAGAUGUUUUGAUUCGAUUACCCUAGUUAGGCUUAGAAUUGGACUAAGUGCUAGUUAUGGAAGUUGUUGUGCGUGAUGAGAGGAUUAUUCUGUUAAAAUUUGGGAGGCAUUGGUCUCCGGCGGAGCAGGCGGCGGCGCCGCCACUUGGAGGUUGAUUUUCAGGUUUUUGGGUUUGUUAUAAUGAGAGGAGUUUAAUGAAAUAUAGUUUGGAAUUUUUGGAGGAGUUUUGAUAAGGUUUGGGAUUUUUAAAAGAUUAAGGAUUUUGCCGGUUAUUAGAAUGAAAAUCCGGCCGUUGAAUUUCCUUGGUAUUUAGCCUGGAAUGUUAGAAUUGAUGAUUUGAGGUUGUGGUGGAGUUUGAUGUGAAUCCGGUGAGUUUAACCCUAAUAAGAGUAGUGGGUUAAACGGAAGAGAGUUAAAUAUUUUUAUUCACGUAAUUAUUUUCCGGAAUUGAAGUUUGGUCCUAAGCAUGGUUGUUGUGCCAGGAUUCGAGGAGACCACGCUUGAAUGGUGAUUCGGAAUUCGUCAGGCUUAGGCCUAAAUCUGUGAGUGGACAUUUUGGUUUUUAAUUAAUAUGCAUGUAAGAUUUUAUAAAUUAGUAUUUCAUUUUCCAAGCAUAUAUUAUAACUUCGGCAUAUGAAAUGAUCUUGGAAAUUAUUUGAGAUUGAUGCAUGGAUUAAAUGUUGGUCAUAAUUUAUGGAUUUGAGCUCGGAUUGAUAAUUUGAGAUUUGAGUUUGGAUUUUCUUUAUGAUUUCCGGAUUUGAGAUUAUAUCCAGAUUUGCAUAUUGCCGGGUUUUCGAAAGGUGAAAGUUAUUUAAAUUAAUUAUUUCAUUGAGCAUUUUAACGUGUGGGACACGUCAUCAAAUUUAAUUAUUUUCUUUACUCAUUGAAUUCUUUGAGUACGAUAGAAAAUCGUACUUAUGCUUAAGUUAUGAGUUUCGGGGAAACUCACAUGGAUUUAUGUUUCUUUAUUUAUGCUAUACUUGUUGGAUCGUUAUUAUUCAUGUUAGCAUGUUGUUCCGCCUUUCGAGGCGAUGUAGCUUCCACGUUUUAAGUGGGGUUACUCAAGCCCUUUUCGCCUUCGGGUGAUGUGAUGUAAUCGACGACAUCACGCAAGUCCUGCACCUUCUCUGUUAUCAUGACAUGAAAGUGUAGGGAGUAUGGGAGUACUUUGCCUGGGAGGCAAUCGAGUCUGGGAGGCUCACUUGUAUGGUUAAAUCGGUUUAUUAUUUAUUGUUGUUUUGACUAGCGGGGCUAGUCCAUUGUUUUGGUAUUUUCUUCAAUGAAGGUUAGUAUUUAUCUUUGUCAAUAUUUUGACUAGCAGGGCUAGUCCAUUUCUUUGGGAUUUUCUUUAUGAAGGUUUUACCAACACUUGCAUGCAACAGAUUUCUUGAUUAUUGGAAAAUGGAAAGUAAUUAAGUUUGGUUAGUUAUGUUGCGAUAAGUUAUUUGUUUAAUUUUUCGUCCACUCACUCUAACGUUUUUAUAUUACUUUUCCCUGGGCCCUUCGGUUUCAAAUGCCCAGUGUGCAGGCUAAGUUUUAAAGGAGGUCGAGCGUACAUGGAGUUGAGGCAUAGUCAGAGGCUGCUUCCGCAUAUUCUUUAUUCGUUGUUUUUCGUUCAACUUUAGAUAUGCUCUGAAAGUCCAAUAGUAAAUUAUUAAUAGUCCUUAUUCUUGGUUGUGGGAUUAUUAGAGUUGAGUAAUUGUUAUAUUGGGAGAUGUGUUGAUCUUGGGGAGCAGGAAGGCUCCAGGUGUUGAGGCUGGUUUGUUUGGUUAUAGAAGUGUUAAGUUGGAUUUUUCAGGUAAGGGUUGUCCAUUUUCAAGGAAGGUUAUACCGAAUUUUCGGUAAAUUUUCCUUGAAGGUGGACCCCGCAGGAUUUACCUUGGGUUUCAGGGUGAAAUUCGGGGUGGGUCCUGUCAAAUCGAUUGAAGGGAGCUCGACUGUGUUCACCGGUUUCUAGCGUUUUCCGGCGAGUUCAUCGGACGCCAAUGGUAUGUCUCGGUUCACCUCUCUCUUCUCUUCAUCUCUGUGCCUUUGUUUCAUAAAAUCGGACCCUAAUCUGAAAAUCCCUUUCUUUCUCUUUUCUGGGUUUCGAGCUCCUAGCUUCGAGAACUACAUUCGGUAGUUCCGGCAAGUGUUUCGGGUUUUGGUGAGUCCUUGAAGCCUAGUGGGGAGUCCGGUGGGACCUUAGAGUGACUUGUGGAGCUGCGGUCGUCGAACUUGACCAAUGCAGAGGUUUGGUGUGUUUGGCAAGAGAGAACCUGAGGUGAUGUGGUGCUGUCUCGGUGGAGGUGGCGACUAAGGCAGCAGCUAGGGAUGUUUGGAAGUCCUGCAAGUUGAGUGUUGGCAAGGAGGAGCUCUUAGAUUCGUGUGUUGGAUGAGCAGAUGGUAAGGCUCAAUCUCUGACAUUGUGAAGCUACGGUGUUGUUGUUAUGUUGUGUUUGGUUGGUGUUUGAUUUAGCUAUUUGGUUGGUUGUCGAGAACUAGGUGAAUCGGAGUUAUGGGGAGGCUAUGGCCAUUUUCCGGCAGAAUAUUCCGGCAAAUUCCCGGAAUCCGGGGAAGGAUUCCGGUGAAGGCAGUUUUUCCGGCAGGAGCCUGUGAGGUAGUUUUCGAGGCCAUUUUUUCUAGUUCGUAUUGUAGUUCCUAAAAGGGAAAAUUCGGGUUGUAAUUGGAAGACUUGCUAAGUUAGGAAAGUUUCCAUUUUCCCUUUAUAGAAACUUCCCAUUUAUGGAAACCCUUUUUGGGUGCCCUUAAUAAUUUGGUGGUUUUCCAUAUUAAAGUGGUUCAUAUGUUUUGAGUUAACGAAAUUGUAUUAGUUUGAUUAAUAAAAAUCGAAGUCCACCAAAACGAAUUAUUAAGCGAAGCCUAAGUGUCUACCGGUCGGUUAAUCGGACGUAUAGAGGGAAUUGGAUCGAAUUGUUAAGUCAAAGGUUGAAUUCGAAAAACGUUGGGCAUUAGUUGGUCAAGCUUGGUCAACCCAAGAAACCCUAGUCAAACUAGGAAAGAAGACGAGACAUUUGGUUAUUUUAAAGUUCGGUCUGACCGAUUUGUCCUACAGCUUAUGGUCAGGCUUGGGAUUGACUCAAGGACUUGGAUAUUUGGAGCUAACGCUAGAGGAGUGUUACUAGCAAUGGAAAGCUUAAGCCUAAUAUUGUGAGUGGACACUUUGUUUUUAAGGAAUAUGCAUGCAUGAUUUAUUUUGGAAAUUAAUGUUCUAUUUACCGAGCUUAUAUUAUAAUUUUGAUUUAUGAUAUGGUCUUGAAUUUAUUUGAGUUUGAAGCAUUGAUUAAGUUGUAAUACCCCGGAAAUUUGAUAUUAGUUUCUAAUUUUAUUUAGGAAUUUUUGAGUUAGAAGUUAGUGUGUUUUGAAGUUCGAAGGAAGAGCGGAAGGGUUCGGAUGCGUAAAUUGCCUGAACCGGUUUUAUAGUUCUGAAGGGUCAAGAGUUGACUUUCUAAUUCAUUGGGUUUCUCAUGAAACUUCCUUCACGGAAGUUGUAGAGCACGACGAUACGAGUUCGUAGACACGUGGCACGCGUAAAACGGACUUCGUAUGAGAAAGUUAUGGUCAGCAGAAGUUGUGACUUUAUGGGAUUUUAGUAUAAAUAGGAAAAUGUGUGUGGGUAUUUUCAGAAAACCCUAAUUUUGCUUAGAGCCCCCGUGCAGCUUUCUCUCUCUUCCUCCCGACCCGCACGCACGACCCCAUCCUUGCCGGAGCAGAAGUCCACCGUCCGACCACCGCCUUGACUGCNNNN